ACAGGUGCGUGCUGGGGGGCCGCGGGGUGGGGGUGCACGCCCCCCUCACCCCGGACGCUGGGGGACGGCGGCGAGCGGCGGGGACCGGCGUCCGAGAAGGGGGAUGGAGGAGGAGAAGGCGGCAGCGGAUGUCAUCUGGCCAUGGGCGGAGCAGGUGAUGGAGAAGGGGAGCGUGACCCCGGGGGUGGGAAUCCCGCGGGUGGGAAGUCGAAUUCGACAGACACCCCGGAACUGACUUCUGGGGGUGGGUCCUGGGCUGGAGGAAUUGAAUGGACUGAGAGAGGUGGGCUGGGGCCAAGGUGGGCCACAGGGUCGAGAGGGAGCUCUGCUGAGAACAGGUGAUAAAAGAGGCAGAACUUCGAAGUUGGGAAAGAGGAGGAACCACCUCUGCCGUGGGGCUGUUGCUUCACUCUGGGAUGGGGAGCAAAGGAAGAGUUGGUAAGGGGCACAGAGGCUCAGGAGGGAGGGACGGAAAAUUGCGGAGGGGGAGAGUCUUGGGAACCAUGCAGAGGAGUCAGUGGCAAAGGGGUUGGAAGAGGAGGCUCUUUGGGACCGGACUCUGGAAAGGAAGUUGUUGGUGACUGUGGGGCAUGGGCAGCGUUGGUGCUCUAUUCUUCAGAAUUUGAAGUGGACAAGUGUGGAGGUGGAGGGUCUGCAAGUUAUGCCCCCUUUUGCGGAACUUUUAAAGUUAAGCAGGACCGAGAAGCGUGCUCUGGUUUACGGAGUGACAGCGUGCAUAUUCCGAGAAGAAUGUGCCAAGGUUUGGGGAAGGGGGCGGGGGGGAAAGGCCUCCUUUGAGCAUGUAAGGUGGAAUGUUUGUAGAAAGGGUUGAAGGAAUGAUGAUUGUACACCAUGAGAGGAUAUUGGAUAGUGGGGAGGGAGCCAUAGCUGGAGCGGGAGGAAGCAAGCCAUGAGAUGAUUGUAGGCGUGAUAGGAGGUCUGGUUGCAAUCUAGAGAGAUUGUUUGAAGAUGGUUUGCUCUUUGAAGCAAAUGUGGUUUGGGACAGAACUGUAGACUUCCCUUCUUAUGAAGACGUGUGAGUGAGUGAGAAGAGCAUGGUGUUUGGAGUUAGAAGAUCUGGGUUGGAACCCCUUUUGGCCACUAACUUGCUUUAUGACAUGUUGGAUCUAUGAGUUGGACAAGAUAGUUCUCCAUUUCUUUUUCCUUACCUUUUUAUAAAAUAAGGAACCCUGGUGACACAAAGGUUAAGUGCUUGACUGCUGACCAAAAGGUUGGGGCUCCGUGGGAGAAAGACCUGGCAAUCUGCUACAACAAAACCCUCUGGGGCAGUUCUCUGUCACCUGGGGUCACUUUGAGUCGAAAUCGAUUUGACAGGAGCUAACAACAACAGACCUUCUUCACAGGCUGUAGGAUUAAAUGAAAAUCUGUACAAAAUUUAACAAACUGGAAAGUGCUAUACUUUACUAUUUAGUUAUAAUUUUUUUAGGGAAACAUCAAAGAAAUGAGUAAUGUUUUUGAAAAUGAACAACAGCUUUGGGUGGAAGGCAUUAACUGGGUGAAUAAUUUGUGUCCUUUGGGGUGGUGAUAAGUCAAGAACUCAUUGUGUCUUUACAUAGGGAAAGAGGAUUAGUGAUUGAAGGUUAUAGUUCAAAGGGGACUCCAGUGAUGCAUAUACACAUCUCAGGAAUAAGGUAACCAAGAGACUGAAAGAAUAACUGAGGGAGAAAUUAAAAUCUCGGUGAACAGCUGUGACUGUGCAUACACUUUCAUUUUUGAUUGGGGUGCAAAUGUACACACCGAAACGUUUGUGCACAGGUACUUUUUAAAGGACGUUUAAACUGAUUUGAGAGUUUUGAGUGACAGUGAGCGGCAUCUCAGCAGCAAGCGAUGCGGAACACAGGGUUACAGUUCUAGCUCUCUUACGGACAGGGCAAGAAAUGAAGGGCAGCUGAGAGGCCUGAUGGCCGCCUUGCUGCGUUUGCUGUGUCGGAUAUACUAUGGAUGGCCGAAGGUGCAGACAGCACAGUAGUCAAGAAAUGGGGGGAAAUGAGCGUGCUUUUGACUAUAUAAGUUGACCAUUCACUACCUCCAUGUGAUUUUGGUCAGCUCUGUUAGUUAAGGGGACAUUAUCAUGUGAAGUUUGACAGUUCACAAGUUUUAGUCUACUAAGGUACUUCCUCCAGUCUCACCUCCGUUUGUGAUACAGGCAAAGAAGUUCCUUGAAAUCGGAAUGCUUAUUAACCCCUCACCUUUAGCGUGUUGCGAGAUGGAGAAAGCUUUUACGUCAUCUUUAAGGAUGAGGGGAGACAACUGGGAAACGGGGCAGCUUUCUAGUUCUUCCUGAGUCCUUAGGUAAUAACUUAAAGAAGCAUACAUGUGGCAUUUGAUAAUACACUCAUUUCAUUCUCACAAGUCCCUGAGGUAGUGAUAUUUCCCUUUUUUGUAGAGGAGGAAACUGAGGCUCAGGAGGCCAAGUGAAAUGCCCGAGGUACUUUAGUACCUGUGAUGCUUUAUUUCGUUUGUUAUGAAUUUUACCAUUUUAUUUAUUCUCAUUGAAAUAUAAAUAUGGAAAAGAUAUUCCAAAAGUAAUUGGAUUAUCUAUCAUUUUGCAGUACCUUUGUCACUAUUCCUUUGGUUUGUACAAAUAUUCAAGAGUUCGGUUGAUUUUUUUUUUUUUUUUUAACAGACUUGCCCUUUAUUUUAUGGUAUGUGGCCUUUAGGAAAAAAUCAUCCUUGUGGAGACUCCUGCGGCACUGUAGAUUUGUCUGAGAAUGGAAUUGGUGAAGAAUGUAGAAGCAUAUAAAAAUAGGCUCCUUAGGAGUUUCAUGAAAUAAGACAUGGAAAUUAUGAAACAAGAUUGGUCAUAAGUUGGUAACUGUUGAAGUUCAGUGUCUACUUUUGCAUGUUUAAAUUUUCCAUAAUAACUUUUUCAUAAAGCCCCUAAAUGUGUGUUCAGAGUGUUGGGAUUUCUGGUGCUUGCUCUCUUCCUAGCAAAUUCUAUGAAAAUCCUGUUACUUCAGGACCCAGCUUAAAUUCCACCUACCUGUGAAACAUUUUCUGACCACCCCUUUUAAAAGGGAUCUCUAUUUUUAUCACUUGUAUUUCUGUCUGCAUCACUCCUGGUUUUUCAUGUAAAAUACCUAGUCUCCUGACUAGAUUGUAAACUCCUUGAGAGUAAGGGCCAUAUUAAAUUAACUUUCUUGGAGUUCCUAGCACAGAGCCUUGCACUUAGCGCUUGCUUUAGUAAAUAUUGAGUGAUCGAAUAUGAUAGUAAGUCUUGAGGGUGGUUAUUCCUUCGUUGAAAGAAUAUUAAGCUUAAGGGGAAGAUGAAUGUCUGUAAUCUCUACACUUAUAAAAAGGAACUUUUGGUGCUUUUUUUUUGUUUCCUGGGAUCCCAGUGUUGUAAAAAUAAGAAAUACUUUUCCUUAAUAAAGUUUUAAAUAAAAGCUAUUGACAGAAGAAAUUAAUUGGUAGUAACACCAAAAUCUUUAUCAUGAUUUAACUACAAGAUUCUACCUAUAUCUUUUUCACUCUUAUACAGUGAGGAAGUGAAAGAACACAUGUGAAAACACAAAAUUGAAGGUGCAAACUAGACUUGUACUAAUUUGAGAGAAACAGCUUACUCAAUGUAUAUUUAUGAGCAGUCAUUUUAGCGUAAGUUCCAUGAGAAACAGGAGCUUGUCCCUUGAUGGAGUGAAUGCAGUAUUUGUAUAUAACCGUACUUGAACCCUGCUAAAGUUUAGUGUUAGUGUAGGGGUAAAAGGAAGCCAGUCUAUCUGAACCACUUUCAAGUAAGUUUAGUUAUCCAAGUACUGUCACAGUUAUUAUGUAUUUUUUUCUGUGUGUUAGGACUUCACAAGCAUCAUUGCUAAGUAAGGAAACUGAGGCUCAAAGAGUUGAAGUAACUUGCCCAAAGGUGUAAAUGGUAAAAGGAUUAAAAGCUAAGGCUGUUACCACUGAUACCGAAUCUGUCCACUGUGCUUCUACAACUACAACUCUCUACCAGCUCUCUCUCCCUGUAGCAGCCAGCCUCAUCCCUGGAUUCUCGCUUCUGCCCUCGCUCCUCAGCAGUUCAUUCUCCACACAGCUGCUAGAGUGGCCUUCUAACAGCCUAAGUCGGAUCAUUUCAAUGGCUUUGGUCACACUUAAAAUAAAAUCCAAGUUCCCUUAGUGCAACUCUUCAUUGUUUGGCCUGGUGAGUUUCUUUGUGGGAUGACAGAUGGUAAACAAACUAGAAUAGCUUGGUACUAUUUGGUAAUGCUGGUACUAUUUUGGUACAGUUGCUGGUGCCUGGCACAUAAUAGGUGGUUGGUAAAUAUUAAGGAGCCUUGGUGGCACAACAGUUAAGUCCUCGGUUGUUAACCAAAAGUUAGGUGGUUCAAACCCACCCAGCAGCUCCAUGGGAGGAAAGACCUGGCAAUCUGCCGUAAAGAUUAUAUCCUGGGAACCCCUACGGGGCAGUUUUCCUCUGUCCCAUAAGGCCACUAUGAGUCAGAAUCGACUCCAUGGCACAACAAGUAUUAACUAAAUGAACGGAAAUGCUUUCCUCUGCUCUACCUAUCUUAACGUCUAGCCUAAGGACUGCCAUCAUUUUAUAGAGGUGAUUUAUUGUGAUAAUGGUCAUUGUUUUGUCAUGUACUUGCAAGCAGUGCUAAACCUAGAGUGAAAAAUAAACUUAUCUCCAGAACUAAUGUAGUCAGUUCUACACUCAGGUUACUGUUGUGUGUAUACCUUGUGAUCAUUGUAUCUGACAGUUUUUCACAGAGAAACUGUGUACUUGAAAAUGUGUGUCUAACAUAGAAUUUAGAUUUGUCCAUUACUUUUUUCUUUCCCUUUCCUUUAUUUUGGUUGUUGUUGAAAAUUUACAAAGUAGAACAUUCGCCAGUUCAACAAUUUCUACAUGUACAAUUCAGUGACAUUGAUUACAUUUUUCAAAUUGUGUAGCCAUCCUCACCCUCCUUUUCCAAAUUGUUACUCCUCCAUUAGCAUAAACUCACUGCCCCCUAAGCUUUCCGUCUAACUUUCUGAGUAGCUGUUGGCAAUUCGAUCCCAUAGAUAGUCUUUAAAAGAGUGCAAUGCUUUAGGCAGACAUUUUUUACCUAAUAAGCUAAACUAUUGUUGGGUUUUAGUAAGACCUCAGGGUUUUUUGUGUGUGUGUGUGUGUGUGUGUGCAUUAAGUGAAAGCUAACAAAUCAAGUCAGUCUCAUACAAAAAUUUAUAUACACCUUGCUAUACACUCCUAGUUGCUCUCCCCCUAAUGAGGCAGCACACUCCUCUCCACUCUCUAUUUUCACAUCCAUUCAGCCAGCCUCUGACCCCCUCUUCCCUCUCACCUCCCCUCCAUACAGGAACUACCCACAUAGUCUCAUGUGUCUACUUGAUCCGAGAAGCUCACUCCUCACCAGCUUUUGGUUUAUUCCAGUUGCGCUGACCUCUCCGGUAUUGUGUGUUGUCUUUCCCUUCACCUACAAUAGUUCUUGUCUGCUAUCUAAUUAGUGAAUACCUUCAGGGAAUUUUUUUUAAAUAUAAUUUUUAUUGUGCUUUAAGUGAAAGUUUACAAAUCAAGUCAUUCUUGCACACACAAACCCAUAUAUACCUUGCUACACACUCCCAAUUACUCUCCCCUUAAUGAGACAGCCCUCUCUCUCCCUCCACUCUCUCAUUUCGUGUCCAUUUCACCAGCUCUAACCCCUUCCACCCUCUCAUCGCCCCUCCAGGCAGGAGAUGCCAACAUAGUCUCAAGUGUCCACCGGAUCCAAGAAGCCCUCUACUCACCAGCAUCCUUCUCCAACCCAUUGUCCAGUCCAAUCCAUGUCUGAAGAGUUGGCUUCAGGAAUGGUUCCUGUCCUGGACCAACAGAAGGUCUGGGGGCCAUGACCACCAGGGUCCUUCUAGUUUCAGACCAUUAAGCCUGGUCUUCUGAGAAUUUGGGGUCUGCAUCCCACUGCUCUCCUGCUCCCUCAGGGGUUCUCUGUUAUGUUCCCUGUCAGGGCAGUCAUCUGCUGUAGCCGGGCACCAUCUAGUUCUUCUGGUCUCAGGAUGAUGUAGUCGCUGGUUCAUGUGGUCCUUUCUGUCUCUUGGGCUUGUCAUCGCCCUGUGUCCUUGGUGUUCUUCAUUCUCCUUUGCUCCAGGUGGGUUGAGACCAAUUGAUGGAUUUUAGAUGGCUGCUUGCUGGCGUUUAAGACCCCAGACGCGACUCUUCAAAGUGGGAUGCAGAAUGUAUUCUUAAUAGAUUUUAUUAUGCCAAUUGACUUAGAUGUCCCCUGAAACCAUGGUCCCCAGACCCCUGCCCCGGCUACGCGGGCCUUCAAAGCAUUCAGUUUAUUCAGGAAACUGCUUUUGGUUUAGUCCAGUUGUGCUGACUUCCCCUGGAUUGUGUGCUGUCUUUCCCUUCACCUAAAGUAGUUCUUAUCUACUCCUACCCUCCACCUCAUGUGACCACAAAAGAAUGUUUUCUUCUCAGUUUAAACUGUUUCUCAAGUUCUUAUGAUAGUGGUCUUAUACAAUAUUUGUCCUUUUGCAACUGACUAAUUUCACUCAGCAUAAUGCCUCCCAGGUUCCUCCAUGUUAUGAAAUGUUUCACAGAUUCCUCACUGUUCUUUAUCGAUGCAUAGUAUUCCAUUGUGUGAAUAUACCAUAAUUUAUCCAUUCAUCCGUUGAUGGGCACCUUGCUUUCUUCCAUCUUUUUGCUAUUGUGAACAGUGCAGCAGUAAACAUGGGUAUGCAUAUAUCUGUUCGUGUAAAGGCUCUUAUUUCUCUAGGAUAUAUUCCAAGGAGUGGGAUUGCUGGAUCGUGUGGUAGUUCUAUUUCUAGCUUUUUAAGGAAGCGCCAAAUUGCUUUCCAAAGUGGUUGUACCAUUUGACAUUCCCACCAGCAGUGUAGAAGUGUUCCCGUCUCUCCACAGCCUCUCCAACAUUUAUUAUUUUGUGUUUUUUGGAUUAAUGCCAGCCUUGUUGGAGUGAGAUGAAAUCUCAUUGUAGUUUUGACCUGCAUUUCUCUAAUGGCUAAUGAUCGUGAACAUUUCCUCAUAUAUCUGUUAGCUACCUGAAUGUCAUCUUUAGUGAAGUGUCUAUUCAUAUCUUUAGCCCAUUUUCUAAUUGGGUUGUCUUUUCGUAGUUGAGUUUUUGCAGUAUCAUGUAGAUUUUAGAGAUCAGGCGCUGAUCAGAAAUGUCAUAGCUAAAAACUUUUUCCCAGUCUGUAGAUAGUCUUUUAACUCGUUUGGUGAAGUCUUUGGAUGAGCAUAGGUGUUUGAUUUUUAGGAGCUCCUAGUUAUCUAGUUUUUCUUCUACAUUCAUAAUGUUUUGUAUACUGUUUAUGCCAUGAGGGCUUCUAACGUUGUCCCUAUUUUUUCUCCCGUGAUCUUUAUCGUUUUAGAUUUUGUAUUUAGGUCUUUGAUCCAUUUUGAAUUAGUUUUUGUGCAUGGAGUGAGGUAUGGGUCUUGUUUCAUUUUUUGCAGAUGGAUAUCCAGUUAUGCCAGCACCCUUUGUUGAAAAGACUGUCUUUUCCCCAUUUAACCGUUUUGGGGCCUUUGUCAAAUAUCAGCUGCUCAUAUGUGGAUGGAUUUGUGUCUGGAUUGUCAAUUCUGUUCCAUUGGUCUAUGUAUCUGUUGUUAUACCAGUUCCAGGCUGUUUUGACUACUGUGGCGGUAUAAUAGGUUCUAAAAUCAGGUAAAGUAAGGCCUCCCACUUUGUUCUUCUUUUUCAGUAAUGCCUUAUUUAUCCGGGGCCUCUAUUCCCUUCCGUAUGAAGUUGGUGAUUUGUUUCUCCAUCUCAUUGAAGAAUGUCCUUGGGAUUUGGAUUGGAAUUGCAUUAAAUGUAUAGAUCGCUUUUGGUAGAAUAGAUAUUUUUAUAACGUUAAGUCUCUCUAUCCACGAGCAAGGUAUGUUCUUCCACUUAUGUAAGUCUCUUUUGGUUUCUUGCAGAAGUGUACUGUAGUCUUCUUUGUGUAAGUCUCGGGAUAUUUUUGGUUUAAGGUUUAGAGAUAAUCCCAGGGCAAUAGUUUCAGGGGUUCAUCCAGCCUCAGUGGCUCCAGAAACUCUGUAGUAUGUGAGAAUUUGAAAUUCUGUUCUAUAUUUUUCCCCCUUUUCAUCAAGAUUCUUCCAUAUACUCUUUGAUCAAAACAUUCAGUAAUUGUAGCUCUUGCCCCUUGUUUAAUUUUAUUUAUUUUGUGGUGGUUGAGAAUAUACACAGCAAAACAUACACCAAUGCAACAGUUUCUGCAUGUACAGUUCAUUGACAUUGAUUACAUUCUUCAAGUGGUGCUGCCAUUCUCACUCUCCUUUUCUGAGUUGUUCCUCCCGCAUUGACAUAAACUCAUUCCGCCCUAAGGUUCCUGUCUAAUCUUUCAAGUUGCAGUUGUCAACUUGAUCCCGUAUAAAUAGUUCUUCAAAGAGCAUAAUGCUCAAGGCAGACCUUUUUUUAUUAGUUAAGCUAAACUAUUAUGUGCUUGCCAGUUUUAAAACAAAAUUUUUCUUACAGUUAAAGUGCCCUGAUGAUGUUUUGGUGUUAUGUGAUUUAAACUAAAAUUAGCCAAAGCUAAAAUCAUGAAUUUAUAUUUAAAUCAUUUUCCUCAAUGUUUAUUAUUAAGGUGUUGGGGAGAAAAAAAAAAGAGUUCAAGAGUUUAUAACCACAUCAGCCUGUAAUUUGUCAAGUGAUACUAUGAAUUAAAAUGCCUCAUGUUCAUGUGAAGCCCUGGUGGCACAGUGGUUAAGAACUUGGCUGCUAACCAAAAGGUUGGCAGUUCGAAUCCACUAGAUGCUGCUUGGAAACCCUAUGGGGCAGUUCUACUCUGUCCUAUAGGGUUGCUAUGAGUUGGAAUCAACUUGCCAGCGCUGGUUGUGUGGUUCUAUAUCAUUGUAUUUUAAGAGUAAUAACUUACCUCGUUUUCAUCAUUCUAAUCUAUUUCAUCAAACCAGAUAGAAAAAUCAAGAGAUGUCCUAAGAAGAGUGUCUAAGUGUUGUUUUAGUUGGCGUAUUUGGCGCCUGAACCUUUAUGUGAUUCCUGCCCGUGGUGUUAGAGCCAUAUGUAUAAUUUGAUUUUUUAAAUUCUAUAAUCUACUUUUGAUAUGUUUCUGGAGUUUAACAGCUCUUUUUUGAAGUUAAAAAUACCAUCCUGGAUAGAGUGGGAGAAAAAUGUGGAACAGAAUUCAAAUUCACAAAAAAAGGCCAGACUUACUGGUUUGAUACAGACCAGAGGAACCCCCCGAGACUGUGGCCCCCAGACACUCUGCUAACCCAGAACUGAAACUAUUCCCAAAGUCCGCUUUUCAGAAAAAGAUUAGACAGGCCUAUUAAAAAAAAAAAAUAACACUUGAGGAACGUGCUUCUUAGUUCGAUCAAAUAUACGACACCAAAUGGGCAACUCCUGUCCAAAAGCAAGAUGAGAAGGCAGAGAGGGACAGCAACUGGACGAAUGGGCACAGGGAACUUGGGGUGGAAAGAGGGACCGUGCUGUCACAUUCUGGGGAGUGCAACCAAUGUCACAAAACAAUAUGUGUAUAAAUUUUUGAAUGAGAAAUUCACUUGAGCUGUAAACUUUUACCUAAAGCACAAUUAAAAAAAAGAAAGAAAGAAAAAUACCGGUUUCAUUUAUGUGGAAAAUAUUUUUUGUUGUAUUGAGCAUAUACAUAGCAGAACAUACAUCUAUUAAACAAUUUUUACGUGUACAAUUCAGUGACAUUCCUUACACUCUUUAAAUUGUGCAACCAUUCUCACCCUCCUUUCCUAAGUUGUUCCUCCCCCAUUAACAUAAACUUAGUGCCCCUUAAGUUUCCUUUCUAAUUCGUGUUGCUGUUGUCAGUUUGCUCCCAUAUAGAUUGAUCUUAAAAGAGCAUAAUGCUCAAGGCAGACAUUCUUUACUAAACUAUUGUUUGAUUUUAAGAAGACUUGAGGGGUAUUUUUCAUUUAAGGUUUAAAGAUUAUCACAGAGCAGUAGUUUCAAGGGUUCAUCCAGCCUUCAUGACUCCAGAAAAGUCUGGAUCCCAUGAGAAUUUUAAGUUCUGUUCUGCAUUAUCCCUCUUUUGAUCAGGAGUCUUCUAUAGAAUCUUUGAUCAAAAUGUUCAGAAGUGGUAGCUGGGCACCAUCCAGCUCUUCUGGUCUCAUGGCAAAGGACACAUUGUUCAUGGAAGCAAUUAGUCACACAUUACAUAUUUUCCUUCUGUUUCUGCCUUUCCUUCUUCCUCUGUUGCUCCAGGUGAAUAGAGACCAGUUGUUGCACCUUGAGCGGCUACUUGCUAGCUUUUAAGACCCCAGACACUAUGCGGCAAACUAGGAGGUAGAACAGAACCACUACACACGUUAUUAGGUCAGUUGACUGGGAUGUCCCAUGAGACCAUGACCCUGAGUUUCCAAAUGCAGGAACCAAAUUCCAUGAGGUGUUGGAUUGUAUAUAGCAGUCUCAGCAGCUUUGGUCGUUGUAAAUAUAUCUGUCACACAACUUUUGCCAAUUCAACUUUUUACAGGUGUACAACUUACUGACAGCAAUUACAUUAUUCAGCUGUACAGCCUUGCCUUUAAUCAGUGGGAUUUUUCCAUCAGCAUGAACUAAAACUCAGUGCAAACAUAAGCAGUAACCCAGCUUUUUCUCCUCCCUUCUACCCCUGGUAACCACUAAAGAACUUUGGUCUCUAUAUGUUUGUCUGUUCUUAUCUUUUUAUAUGUGAGGUCAUAUAAUAUUUGUCCUUUUGUGAUCGACUUAUUUCACUCAGCAUGUCUUCAGGCUCCAUCCGUAUUGUUGGAUGUAUCAAGACUUCGUUUCUCUUACUGGCUCAAUAGUAUUCCAUUGUAUGUAUGUACCACAUUUUUUAAAUCCAUUCAUCCACUGAUGGGCAGUUAGGUUGUUUCCACCUUUUGGCUAUUGUGAAUAGUACUGCAGUGAACAUUAGUGUGCAGUUAUGUUUGAGUCUCUGCUUUCAAGCCUUCUGAGCAUAUACCUAGGAGUGGGAUUGCUAGGUGAUACGGUAGUUCUGUUUUUAGUUUCUUGAGGAACCGCCACACUAUUUUCCAUAACGGGUGUACCAUUUUGCAUUCCCACCAACAAAAGGGUUUUAGUUCCCCAUAUCCUUACCAACAUUUAUUAUUUUCUUUUUUAACCUUAGCCAUCCUAGUAGGAGUGAAAUGGUAUCUCAUUGUGGUGGUUUUAUUUCUUGUAUGUGUAAAUCAAGACACAUUUGCAACUUUGAGUUUCUAUAGCAUAUUUUCUUAUCCUCACUUAAAGAGACACAGAAUGCUCCUCUUUGAGAAUUUUAACUUCUUAGGUGUCUAGAGGCUCUAGGUGACCAAAUUCAAUUUUCUGGAAAAUACCUACAGUUAGUUCACAAGAUCCUUGUGAUGAAUGGUUCCUGCUCAGGUUUCUUUAAUGGGUCCGUCAGAUAUUCACUAGGGCCACAGCUUUAAAAAAAAAAAAAAGACAAAACCCAGCCCCAUUCAGAUUAGAUUGACCUUCUGAAAAAGUUACAGCUUUAAAGUAUUAGACCAAUGAUUAUGCAUAAGCCUGAUAAAGACCUUUGAGUCCCUGGGUAGCACAAACAGCUAAGUGCUUGCUAGCUGAAAGGUUGGUAGUUUAAACUCACCCAAGGGGCCUCGGAAGACAGUCAUGGCAAUCUGCUUCUGAAUGACCACAACCUUGAAAACCCUGUGGAGCAGUUCUACUCUGCACACAUGGGGUCGCCAUGAGUCAGAAUUGACUUCAGGGCACUAACAGCUACAAUAAAGACCUUACAGAAAAUUCCUUUUCCUGGUUUGUAGGGUUUACCUUAAGCUGGUAGGAAAAUUUGAUAAUCUCUCUUUUGGAGUUUCGAUAUCGAUAGUGAAGAACCACUGAAAGAUUUAAAAAACAAAACAAAACUCUAAAGUAGAAGUGUGCCUUAAUUUUCUUUUAACAUGUCUGUGACUUAUAUUGAAUUUAAAUGACCACCGAAAAAGUGCUUACUUCUGGUUUCUUGAAUCAGGGAAUCUUUAGUUUCAAGAUGAUUUUCAUCUCCGAUUAACUGUGAUGUGGAAACGGUUAACUGCUUUGUUACUAACUGAAAGUUCGAUGGUUCAGAUCCACCCAGCGAUGCCUUGGAAGAAAGGCCUGUCGGUCUACUUCUGAAUGAUCACAGCCAUUGAAAACCCUCUGUAGUGCAGUUCUGUGCUGACACACAUGUGUGGUCAUGAGUUGGAAUUGACUGUGGCAACUGGUUAGUCCUAGUGCUGUAAUUUGUACAGUGGGUAUGCCCGUCCUCUACAGGGUUUUGUGAGGAUUCAUUGAGAUGGUGAAAAUGCCUUUUAUAAAUUGUAAAGUACUUUAUAAAGGCAUAUUAUUUGUUCUCUACAUUAUUUGUGGCUCCAGAUAGGUUCUGGAUGGAUUCGCUCACUAUAGAAAUGAUUUUUCUUAUUUCAUAAUUUAUUUUUUUCUUUUCUUUUUUUAUUAUUGUAGUUUAGAUGAAGGUUUACAGCACAAACUAGCUUCUCAUUAAACGGUACACAAAUUGUUUUGUGACAUUGCUUACCAACUCUGCGACAUAUCAACACUCUCGCUUCUCAACCUUGGGUUCCCUGCUACCAGCUUUCCUGUCCCCUCCUGCGUUCUAGUCCUUGCCCCUGGGCUGGUGUGCCCCUUUAGUCCCGUUUUGUUUUAUGGGCCUGUCUAAUCUUUGGCUGAAGGGUGAACCUUGGGAGUGACUUCAUUACUGAGCUAAAAGUAUGUCCAGGGGCCAUAUUCUUUGGACUUUCUCCAGUCUCUGUCAGGCCAGUAAUGCUGGUCUUGUAAGUUACAGUUUUGCUCUACAUUUUUCUCCGGCUCUGUCCGAGACCAUCUAUUGUGAUCCUUGUCAGAGCAGUUGGUGGUGGUAGCUGGGCAUCAUCUAGUUGUACUGGAGUCAGUCUGGUGGAGGGUUUAUUUCAUAAUUUAGCCAGUGUUUGAACUUUGAGGUGACUAUACUCUUGUCCUUCUAUUGGGAAUGCCAAAUAAAAAGGAAUAAAAGUAAAGGAGUUAGCAAAUUGUCGUUGAUGUAGACUGUUGCCUUACAAGUUUCACAGUCCAUUGCUGUAUUUCGCAAAACAAAACUGUGAAUUGAAUAGAGGCUAAGGUUUUUCAUAUGAUAGUUUUAUUUUGAUCUUUUGAAGAUAGUUUUCUUCAUAAUCUACUAAAAUGAAGGAAGAGCAGUGGUAUGGAUAACUCAAGGCCUUCCUGGUUUUCUUUGGAAUGCCUGGGAAAAGACAGAGGAAGAAAUGAUGAGUUUGAAUUGUGGUGUUGGGGAAGAAUAUUGAAUUAUGCAGUGGACUACCAAAAGAAAAAAACAAAUCAGUCUUAGAAGAAAUACAACUGGAAUGCUCCUUAGAAGUUAGGAUGAUGAGACUUCAUCAUGCUUACUUUGGACAUGUCAUCAGGAGAAAGACCAGUCACUGGAAAAGGAUAUCAUAUUUGGUAAAGUAGAGGGUCAGCAAAAAAGAGGGAAACCCUCAAUGAGAUGGCUUGACACAAUAACCACAGCAAUGGACUGAAACAUGCCAAUAAUCUUGAAAAUGGCAUAGGACAGGGCAAUGUUUCAUUGUUAUACAUAAGGUCCUCUUGAGGCUGAGCUUACUGGAUGGCAACUAACAACAAGGAUGCCUGAGGAAGGGGCAUUAAUUUCUUAUCUGUUUCUUAAAAAAAAAAAAAAACCCAAACUUCUUGCCACCCGGUGGAUUCCAACUCAUAGUGCCCCUAUAGGAGAGAGUAGAACUGCUGCAUAGGAUUUCCAGGGCUGUAAUCUUCACAGAAAAAAAAUUUAUUUAUUUAUUUUUUAAUCUUCACAGGGAAACCCUGGUGGCGUAGUGGUUAAAUACUGUGGCUGCUAACCCAAGAGUCGGCAGUUCGAAUCCUCCAGGCACUCUUUGGAAACUCAACGGGGCAGUUCUACUCUGUCCUGUAGGGUCGCUAUGAGUCGGCAUCAACUCGACCGCACUGGGUUUGGUUUUUGGUUUAAUCUUCACUUAGCAGACUACCAAGUCUUUCUCCCGUGCAUCGGUUGGUGGGUUUGAAUCCCUGACCUUUUGGUUAGUGGCCGAAGACUUAACUACAGCACCUCCAGGGCUCAUUUUUGAGAAGGAGUACACAUUUCUGGAAGCCUACAAAGUCAGACUAUACAGUCAAAAGGUUUAAAAGUCUAGGCUGUCAGGCAAAACCUAAAGAUGUAGUCAAGUUUGGAAGGUCAACCUAGAAAACUAUGGGCAAAAGUUUAUGAUAAGAAAUUAUAAGUAAAGUCAUAAGGAAACUACAAAAUAAAGGCAGGCACCGUGCCUAGGAUAAAUGUCUGGAUAACCAGGUUGGGACAACGGUUACCAGAGCUUGGCCACAUUUGUCCUACUUAGGUCAAGAGUGAAGCCCCUUCCUUGAAGGGAAGUGGGCGUGCCUGGCUUAUUUGGUAUGGAGCGAGGAAACAGAUCAACCAGGCACGCCCACUUCCCUUCAUCUAAGGGCUACAGACUUGGGGCUUCACUCUUGACCUAAAUAGGACACAUGUAACCACGUUUUGUUAACUGUUGCUUCAACGUGGUUAUCCAGACAUUUUAUCCUAGGCACGGUGCCUGCCUUUAUUUUGUAGUUUCCUUAUGACUUUAUUUGUAAUUUCCUUGUCAUAAAUUUUCCCCCAAGUUGUCCAGCUUGACCUUCUAAACUUGGCUAAAUCUUUAGGCCUUGCCUGACAGCCUGGACUUUUAAACCUUUGGACUGUAUUUUCUGACUUGAUAAAAAAAAAUAAGCUUCCAGAAAUUUGUACUCAUUUCUAAAAAUGCUUGAAGAAAUACCUCUAGUCUUAGAAGUAAAAAUUAGUUUUAAAGAACAAAUUCCCUUAUGUAAGUCAUUUUUUUUUUAAGUCACUGAUUAGUAUAGGCCUCUUUGGAAAUGCCCUCUGGGACCAAAGCUAGGCUGGCUAGAGUUGAAGAUUUGAGAUAAGACCAUUAACCUGUAAGGGGGAGUGUAUAGAGAGGAAAGACUUAAAAAAAAAAAGAAGACCAGAAAUUGAGGUUUGGGAAACUCACAAUUGAGAAAUGUGAGGAAGAAGAGAAGUUAAAGGAAGCUCCAUCAGAGGUAGGAUAAUCAGUAAAGUGCAAUGGUGAUAAAAAAAAAAAGGCACAAGAGAAUUUUUAGGGGCAGCAGUGUAAAAAGCAACAGGGUUCAAAGAGAAUGAAGAAACAACAGGCUAUUGAGUUUGGAAAGGAAGUCAUUAUUGAAAAUGCACUAAUAAAGAUCAGAGUAGUGAGGGUGAAAGCCAAAUUAGGGAUGGGUAGAUAAAGGCAUGUUUUGGGGAAUGGCCAUUUGAGAAAAUGUGAAAAAAAUGAGGAAAGAAGAAAUAGACAGCAGGGUCAUAAGGAGUUUUUUAUUUUCUAAAGUAAAAGGAGAGAAUUGUGUAUUCAAAGGCAAGGAAAAGGAAAAAUUGAUCUUGGAAAGAGAGAGUUUUUUUUUUUUUAAAACAGAAAAUACUAUACUCUAAGAUUUUUUUAUUGUGCUUUAGGUGAAAGUUUACAGCUCAAGUUAAUCUCUCAUUCAAAAAUUUAUACACAUAUUGUUCUGGGACAUUGGUUGCAAUCCCCACAAUGUGACAGCACGCUCCGCCUUUCCACCCCAGGUUCCUAUGGCCAUUCGUCCAGUGAGUUUAAGACUCCUGCUUUCUUAUUCUCACGAGUUUCCAUUAAGAGUUGUGAAGAGAACUUAAUGGCAAAUGCUUGGUGGGUACAUGUAGUUUUUGUCUCUUUCGGUGUUUAUGUUAUCACUAGUUUGGAUUGUAUUGUAUUUGGGUGUCCUAGGGGCUUUUCAUUACUUACAGUAUGAAAUCCAGCCCCUUUAGUUUGACUUUUAAAACCACCUGGCCUUGUAACCAUGAAAGCAAAAAACCAAACCCGUUGCUGUCGAGUCAGUUCCGACUCAUAGUGAAACUAUAGGGCAGAGUAAAAUUGCCUCAGAGGGCUUCCAAGGCUCGGUCUUUAAGGAAGCAGACCGCCGCGUCAUCUUUCUCCUGUGGAGCGGCUGCUGGGCUCAAACUGCUGACCUUUCUGUUAGCAGCUAAGCGCUUAACCACUACGUCACUUACAUUUCAUUUAAAAUGCUUAUUAUUUUAGCCAGACUGAAUUGCUUACGAUUUCCCCUAAGUAGCUGCUCUUCGUACUUUUAUUUGAGCUGACUCUUCUACCUGGUUGGAGCCCUGAUGGUGCAGUGAUUAAGAGCUCAGCUGCUAACCGAAAGGUCGGCAGUUCAAAUCUACUGGUCACUCCUUGGAAACCUUAUGGGACAGUUCUACUCUGUCCUGUAGGGUUACUGUGAGUCGGAAUCAACUCGAUGGCAAGGGGUUUGGUUUGGUUUCUUCUACCUGGUUAGCCCUUCUCCCAAAUUUCUAAAUGUGUAAGUCCUACCUAUCUUUCAAGGACCACCUGAAGUGCCGUCCCCUCAUUACUGGACUUUCUGAUUGACCCAGUAAAAAUAAUUUCCUGACGCCUAUGGCUCUUAUUUGUUCCUGUCAUGUAGCACCACUUGUGAUUUUCUGGCCUUGUACUGUGUUUAUGUAGCUGUCCUCCCACUUUGACUGUGAGCUCUUACAAGGGUGAGAUACCACCACCAGCAGUUGCCGUUGACUCUGACUCAUGGAGACCCUAUAUGUGCACAGUAGAACUGUGCUCCGUGGGGUUUUCAAGGCUGUGACCUUUCGGAAGCAAAUCGACAGAACUUUCUUUGAAGGUGCCUGCGAGUGAGUUUGAAUCACCAACCUUUUGGUUAGUAGUCAGGUGCCACCCAGGGACUCCAAAGGUGUAGGAUACAAGUCAUUAAUGUCAUGAUAGAGAGAGCUACACAUAGUAGGUACUCAGAUUUAUUAUUUAUCUUUUUUAAAGAAUGAAUAUUUUAGCACAGAAGGACCUAUAUGAAAUUUGCCUGGUACUGUAUGCCCUGGUGGCGCAGUGGUUAAGAGCUAUAUCUGUGGCUGCUAACCAGAAGGUUGGCAGUUUGAAUCCACCAGGCACUCCUUGGAAACGCUAUGGGGCAGUUCUACUCUGUCCUAUUGUGUAGUAAAAAGUCAGAAUCAACUCGACGGCAGUGGGUGUGGGGUGUGUGUGUAUUUUAGAUUAAGAUGUCUCCUUGAAAAUACGGUGACAGGGCACAUGGAAGAGAGGAGAGAGUACUUUCCUAGCAUAUCAUUGUUCUUUGAAGAAAAUGCAAAAAUAAAGUUGUUACUGUCAAGUUGGGUCAAGUGUUGUGGACAGAUUCGCCUAACUUCGUAACAUUCAGACAGCACAUAGAAGAAAAUUACCUCAGCCCAGGAACUGAACACUGAAGGGAGACAUUUACCAUAAAAGACUCCGGGCCCUUUAAAGUCCCUUUUUAUUUAUCCUCAGUCUUUUUGAACCUGGUCAUGGACUGACUGUGAUCAGCUUGUUUAUACUUUCUCUCCCAAACAGGCACUUGUUAAAUAUGUGGCAUGUGUUAUUUUUUUAAGUGGAGAAGCUCUGGCAAUUUUUUUUUUUGGAGUGAGCAAAACAAUUUUAGGAAAAAAAAUUCCAGUAACAUGCUCAAAUGAAAAUAUUUUGCAGGAAACUUCCUUUGAUGUAUAAAGAGCUAUAAAGUAUAUGCUGUAUGGAAACUACCUUCUGGACAAUUUAACAUUUCUUUUUUUGGCCAGUAUUUCAGAAAUUCAAAUUCCUUAUAUUUAAGCUUUUGUUUAAAAAGCUAAAAAAAAAAAGAUUUACUUUACCUUCAUCUUUGUCUUGUUUCUAAAAGACUGUUUUUCUCUUCUAAGUAAUUUCUUGUCUUUUGUUGAAUAAUUGUUAACUCAGGGCAAUCUUUUUAAAAAAUCUCUUGGCCUGGUAUGCGCAUGUUUGAAAUUUAAUAGUUAUAGCAGGACAUCAGUUUUAGGUCAGAAUUAGGGAAUUUAGUCAUCUGGAAUAGGCAUAAACCAGAAGCUUGGGGAAUUGGGAGUUCUUGGUUUUGAACCUUUGUAUGCUGUGCUGUGGUGAAAAUAAGCUACAGGCCUAAGGAUGAUGUAUCAGGCUGGUAUUCAUGGAUAGCAAAGGUUAUAAACACCAAGGUUGAACGUUAUCAACGAACUUAGAAGAAAGAGACUAGUGAGUAGAAGUAGGGGAGACUUGGUAAUAGCAGAUGGGACCGGGCAAUAGAAGCAGAGGUAGAGACCUGAGCUAUCAGGAAGCAUCAAGAAGUGAGACCAAAUGGAAAAUGGAGCCAGCUGCUAGGAAACAGGAGACUAAACCAGAGUCAUUGCGUCGCACUGGUGCAGAUGUCCCUGUACAUCUCUGGAACUCCAGCUUUGUACUUCAGUUUGGACUAAGCAAGUCAACAUUUAAUGAUAGGGCAGUCUUAGCCUUUUCAGUAGCUAUUGAGAACAUCUGCUUCCAGCAUCUUAGCUAGGGACCUCAGACAUUUUCGAUUCUCAUCAAAUAAACCAGUAAAUUCUGUCAAUUUUGUCUCCCCCACCUCCCCCCCCACCCCCCAUUUUUUUUUUGCCCAUUCUUCUUUCCUGUCUUUGUUCCCCUAAAUCUUUGUUCCUGGACGACUCUUCUCUGUGCUUGCUUCUUUCAAUUUUUUUUUUUCUUGUUCAUCUCCACCUAAGGUUUUGAGGGCAUGGAUUGUAUUUUGUUCAUAUCACUGUGUUUACAGUUUAUUAAAAUAAGUAAUAUUCUGUAUUUGAUUUUCAUAGUGGUAACCCUAAGAAAUAUGGUUAGAUAGAAGAGAACGUGAAAUCUUAAAUUAUUGUUAACUGUCAGCUUUCAGAGUUAAGAGCUUAAAGGAACAAGCAUCAAAUAUAGUUGGGUAGCUUACUCUCUUUAGCUGAGUAAAUGAAACAUUAUUCAAGGUAUCAGGACAGACCUUCCUUGAUAAUCACUGUUUUUAAAAUACAGUGGGAGAGUAGAUUACUAUAUUGGCAAGCUAUUGUCACAAUAAUAAUGCAUACAAAUUAACCUACAAACUGAAUGGCAUAAUAUAGCAGCCAGUUAUUCUCACAGAUUUCCAGGUUGACUGGGGCUGUGAUGGCUGGAGGAACUCAAAUUCUCCAAAACUCUUUAAGUCGAUUGGGGUGGCUCUGCUUCAUGUUGUUCAUUUGGGGGCCCAGGCUGAGUGGGCAGCAGCUCCCCAGAGGAAGCACUUCUAAUGGCAGAGGCAUGGACACAAGAAGGCAAGUGAAACUGAAAGGCUUCUUAAGGCUCAGGCUCAGAACUGGUACACUGCCGUUUCUGCCUCAUUCUUUUGGCCAAAGCAACUCAUAUAGUCAAAACCAAAGGCAAACCCACAACUAUCUACUUGGUUCCGACUCAUAGCGACCCUAUAGGACAGAGUAGAACUGCCCCAUCGGGUUUCUAAGGCUGUAAAUCUUUAUAGAAGCAGACUGCCACAUCUUUAUUUCUUGGAGUGGAUGGUGGGUUUGAAUUGCUGACCUUUCAGUAAGUACCCGAGUACUUAAAACACUGUGCCACCAGGGCACCACAUAAUGUACAAUUUACUCAUUUAGCGUGUAGAAUCCUGUGGUUUUUAGUAUACUAUUCACAGGAUUGUGCAACCAUCGUCACAGUCAAUUGUAGACCAUUUCCAUCACCCCAGAAAGAAACCCCUACCCAUUAAGCAGGUACUCCCAUCCGUCCUCCGGCCAGCCCCUGGCAACCACAAAUCUACCUUUCUUUCUCAAGGGAUUUGUCUACUCUGGACAUUUCAUGUAAACAGAAUCAUAUAAUAUGGGGUCUUUUUUUUUUUUUUUUUAAUUUUUAUUGUGCUUUAAGUGAAAGUUUACAAAUCAAGUCAGUCUCUCACACAAAAACUUACAUACACCCUGCUACAUAAAAAAAAAAAAAAAAAAAAUACUCCCAGUUACUCUCCCACUAAUGAAACAGCCUGCUCUCUCCCUCCACUCUCUCUUUUCACGUCCAUUUCUCCAGCUUCUAACCCCCUCCACCCUCUCAUCUCCCCUCCAGGCAGGAGAUGCCAACAUAGUCUCAAGUGUCCACCUGAUCCAAGAAGCUCACUCCUCACCAGCAUCCUUCCCCAACCCAUUGUCCAGUCCAAUCCAUGUCUGAAGAGUUGGCUUUGGGAAUGGUUCCUGUCCUGGACCAACAGAAGGUCUGGGGGCCAUGACCACUGGGGUCCUUCCAGUCUCAGUCAGACCAUUAAGUCUGGUCUUUUUAUGAAAAUUUGGGGUCUGCAUCCCAUUGCCCUUCUGCUCCUUCAGGGGUUCUCCGUUGUGUUCCCUGUCAGGGCAGUCAUCGGUUGUAGCUGGGCACCAUCUAGUUCUUCUGGUCUCAGGAUGAUGUAGUCUACAGUUCAUGUGGCCCUUUCUGUCUCUUGGGCUCAUAAUUACCACGUGUCUUUGGUGUUCAUUUCUCCUUUGAUCCAGGUGGGUUGAGACCAAUUGAUGCAUCUUAGAUGGCUGCUUGCUAGCGUUUAAGACUAUGGGGUCUUUUGUAAUUGGCUUCUUUCACUUAGUAUAACGUCUUGAAGAUUCAUCCAUAUGGUAGCAUGUAUUAUUGCUUCAUUCCUUUUCAUUGCCAAAUAAUAUUGCAUUGUAUGGAUAUGUUGCCUUUUUUUUUUUUUAAAUCUAUUCAUUACUUGAUAGAUGUUUAGGUUGUUUCUGCUUUUUCGCUAUUAGGAAUAAUACUGCUAUUGAAAAUUUGUGUGUAAGUUUUUAUGCGGAUGUAUGUUUUCAUUUGUUUUGGCUAAAUACCUAGGAGUGGAAUUGUUGGAUCAUAUGGUGUCUCUGUGUUUAACAUUUUGAGAAGCUGCUCAACUGUUUUCCAAAGUGACUGCACUGUUAAACACUCCCACCAGCAACAUAGAAGCGUUUCAUUUCCUCCACAUCCUUGACAACACUCGUUUUUAUCCAUCUUUUUGAUUAUAGCCAUCCUAGUGAGCGUGAAGUGGUAACUCAUGGUUGUUUUUAUUUGUGUAAUGUUUGUAUUUAAUAAAGGGUUUAUAGAGGGAAAAAAGCAGUCGUUUAAAACGUCAGACUUGUUCGUUCUUAACAGUGCAGUACCAAAGUUGAACCUCAGUUUUAGAUAUCUGAAAGUCUAGCAUCAAGAAAAAAAAUUAAUAGCUCUUUUGGCUCACAGAUUUUUUUCUAAUAAGGCUACUCCUUAUUUCUUUUAUGUACUAGAAUCGUUUUGGAAGAUGUUGUUGCAGCUGUUGUUUGCUGCUGUCAAGUUGUUUUCAACUCAUGGCAGCCCCAUGUGACGGACUAGAACUGCCCCAUAGGAUUUUCUGGGCUUACAGAAGCAGAUCCCCAGGCUUUUCUCCCAUGGAGUGACUUAGGCAGGUUUGUACCGCCAACCUUUCAGUUAGCAGCUGAGCGCUGAACCUUUUGCACCACCAGAGCUCCUGUCUUAGGAAGAUACUGGCUUGAAAUGAUUAUUAAACUGGUUCCCUCCCUUUGAGUAAGUGAAUGACUACAUUACGCCUGCAACCUGCUACAUCGUCAUUUGACCUGAGAGUAUGACUGGUUUAAUGACUAGAGUCUCUGCCUCCCGCGUAUUACUUCCUUGUCAGGAAGGUGAAUCACCAGAGGAAUUAGUUUGUAAAAUAUGGCAUUUACUAGAGCAGCAUUGUCUACAUAUGUAGUUUAAAGUUUUCCAGUAGGCACAUUAAAAAGUAAAAAGAUAACAGGUGAAAUUAAUUUUAAUAAUGUAUUUUAUUUAACCUAGUAUAUCAGAAAUCUUAUAUCAUUGAUUGUACGUAAUCAGUCUAAAAAUUAUUAUGAUGUAUUUUACAUUUUCAGUACAAAGUCUUCUCUGUUCAGACUAGCCACAUUUCUAGUGGCUAGUGACUACCAUAUUGAAUAACACAGUUGGGGUAUCUAAGAGCUUAUGAUCUAGAUUUUUGCUCCUGUAUCUAAAAUUAGUUAUCUGCAUUAUCUUUAGGAAAAACAGAUGGGUGAUUGGUCAGCCUGUAUUUCUGGUUCUUUAAUUUUAUAUCGUUACUGAUUUAUUUUGGUAACUUGGGAGAGGGUCUUCUUACGCUCUUAGAGAUUUUAAUGCAAUUUUAGGCUGUUGAACCUAUGUAAAAAAAAAAAAAAAGCCUAUGUAGUCAAAUGAAUUUAGAGAAGUACAGAUAAUGAGCUCCUUAUAGUUUCGGUUUUUGGUUAUUGGUAGUUAGCAAGAGAAGAAAAAAAUGUCUUCACCCUCAUCAUUAGAGAUGCAACAGGUAUUAUAGUUCUUAGCAAAUGAAGGAAAUCUGUUGAAACGGCUGUGCGUGGGCCUUAGUCCAGUUGUUCCAGAUGUUGAGCUGUGUUUCGGCCUGUUCUUUAUCGGUUGUGUCCUACUGGUGUUGUCUGGCCGCUUAGCUCACUGGGUUAGACAGAACAAGGUGGCAGGUUUGAUCUCUAUAUUUAACGAAUGACAUUAUGCCUGUUGGGACUCUGCCAUAGUAACUAAAACAGAAUAAGUAGGGUCCUGUCUAUUCUAGGACUUUACAGUGUUUUUAGAGACUGGGUGUCAGAUGCCAACAAAUGCAGUUAAGACAGCUUUCUGAGAAAAGAGAUUUUGCAGUGGGCCAUUAUACGGACUGUGUGUCCCAGUCGAUUAUUUGAUUACUGGGGAAACUAAAAUUUGGUCAGAAGCGAUGUCUUAGUAUUUGAAUGCUUUUACUCCGAGCUUACACUCUCUAAUUUGACUCAGUCCCCACUGCUUUCUGUUCUCUACACUGAGUCUCUGUGUCACUGGUUUAUAUCAUUGACCUAACCCGUGAAGGGCAUUGGUGGUUCUGUGGUAGAAGUCAUUUCGUCCCUUCCCUGCGGGAGACCCAGGUUUGCUACCCAGCCAGAGCAUCUCAUGUGCAACCACCGCCCGUCUGUCAGUGGAGGCUUGCAUGUUGCUGUGAUGCUGAACAGAUUUCAGCAGAGCUUUCAGACUAAGAUGUACUAGGAAGAAAGGCCUGGCAAUGCACUUCUGCAGAUCACCCAGUGAAAACCCUGUGGGGUCACAGUGAUCAGAUCUGCAGCUGACUGUGGAGGUAGCUCACUACCGAGCAGUGUUUUGGUCUGUUGUGUGUGGGGUCACCGUCAGUCGAGGGCCGACUCAGUGGAAGGAAAAAACACCACUGCCACCUAGUCCUGAAGGCAUUUGAAUUGUGACCCCAGAUAUUCACAUCUUGGUCAUUGCCUCAGUGAUGAGAUGGGGGUAAGGAGAUGGCUGAUCUGUGCCCCAGUGACAGUGGAUUAAAAAAAGGCUAUCUUAUGGGCACCUGCAUAUUUAAAUACAAAUCCUUUUCUCCAUAUUUCACCAUUGCAUUAUGUAUUGCUACUGAAUGCCUUAACGUUCUCACAAAUGUUCCAUCAGCCAUCAUUCUGCUUUUCCGAGCCUGGACAUGGUUACUCUAAAUGGCAACCACAUGCUUUUGUAUUGGGGUCUGUGAAUGGUAUUCUAACCAGAAGAAGAGAAUCUCUACUAAACUUAACAUGUUAUAAGGAUGUGCAUUCAUCUUUCAACUCUUGUCAUUUGUGGUGGUGGUGGUGUGUGCCAUCGAGUUGAUUGCGACUCAUAUCAACCCUAUAUGACAGAGUAGAAUUGUUCCCAUAGGGUUUCCUAGGCUGGAAUUUUUAAGGGAGCAGAUCGUCAGGUCUUUUGUCCCGUGGAGUUGCUGGUGGAUUUGAACCGCUGAACUUUUGGUUAGCAGUAUAGGCCAAUUUGUGAGUCGUGGAUUUGAAUAUGAAUGCCACAUGAAAUGCAUUAUGUGCCAUAGGCCUUAAGUGUACAACUGCAAAUUAAAGAAUACCCUGAAUGACACUUUUUGGCCAACACUUGGAAGGCUGUGUUGAAUUUUUGGUAUACAUCAUGAUUCUUAUAAUUUCCAUGUAGUUCAUAUUUUGACACUUUAUUAAUUUUUUCAUUUUUGAAAUGUGCUUGAAAGCUUUAGCCUUGUCUUCUAUUUACGGAGUUAGAAACACUUUGGUUCGUUGGUAUUAUAAAAUAUAAAUUUAAGGGCAAUCUAAUUCUCAGCUGAGUGCACAGUCUAAGUUCUAAGCAAGUUGAACCAGUGGGAACAGAAAUGGAAGCCUUGCCUCUUCUCUAGUCCUAAAUAGCACCGAAAUAAUGUGGUGCAGUGAUUAAGAGCUUGGCUGCUAACCAAAAGGUUGGCGGUUUGAAUCCAACAACCACUCCUUGGAAACCCUGUGGGGCAGUUUUACUCUGUCCUGUAGGCUCACUGUGAGUUGGAAUCGACUUGACGGCAGUGGGUUUGUUUGUUUUUUUGGUGGGAAAACCUAACUUGGACCUCUUUUGGUAGCAAAGCCAACUUUAACUGAUGUGAGAUUGUAGUAUCCAUUUAUCUCAGUGUGACUUUUCAUUCACUGUGCUGCAGAAAUAUUAAUGUGUUUGAUUAUGAAGUGCCACCAGAGAUUCUGCCGGAGAUGUUAGGUAAUCUUUAACGUAUGAACUGUGUUAUCUGUCUAGAAAAAAAAAAAAUGAGGAUCCCGAAACAUAUCUGGCUGCAAGGGUAUCAGACAAGGAAUUCUGGAACCGUGAUAGUCGAUUUCUCGUUAUUUCAUGGUGGUUAUAUUCUGUAAAGUUGCCACGAACACUGAAUGAGUGAAUACCAAACCAUUGCUCCUAGGGAAAAUACAGAACGAGGUUCCUGCAAGCCUCUGGUCACAAAUUUUCUUCAGUUGAUCAAUACAUAACCUUGCUUAAUGUGUGUUUCUUUUUAAAGGUACAUUUAAUGUAUAUUGUUGAUUCAUUAAAAUUGACCUCACAGCCAAUAGCACCAUAACUCUUGCCUGAACGAAUUUUUUCUGUAAGGCUCAGCACAAUCUUCUUGCGCUUAAGAACACUAGAUAGGACAUCUGCACCGGGCUUGGAGGCCGUUUUAAACAGCGAAAUCAGCAACAAAGCACAAAAAUGUGGAAAAGGUGGCACUAAAUAGAUCAGAAAAAGGAUACUUUAAUUUACAGUAUGAGGGCAGAAACAAAUGGUAGAGCGUUGCCUGGUUCAGCCUCAGCUGGGGACUUGCGUGUUGGGCGACUCAAGUUUUUCACUGCUCUGUGCAUGUUCGCAAAUGCCUGAGAAAGCACCAUGAGUAUUGAUUUUAGGGUGACAAAUAAGUUCUAGCCGGGUAGGCAGAUUCACGGAGUAUGGUGAAUAAUGAGGAUCGACUGUAAAAUUUACUUUAUUGGUGAAAUUUUAGAAAAUGUAGGUAAACAGAAAAAGAAAAUAAAACCCACCUGUAAUUCCACCAAUCCUGAGAUCCUUUGUUAAAUUUGGUGCAUAUAUGUCAGCUCUUUGAAAAUAUGCAUAUGAUUGUGACUGUUAAUUUUUUUUACUUUUUAAUUACACAAAAUAAGUUUUGUUGUUGAAAAAUCAGAAAUCUUGAAUAAGGGGUAAUAAAAAAUGAAAAUUAUCCAAAGUUUUACUUCCCUAAAGAAUUCUUGGUAAGAUUUUUUGUUACCCUUUUAGGAAUUAUUUGUGGGAACAAUAGAUUUUUUUUCUUAACACAAAAACGAGAACAGGUUCAUACUAUAUCCAUAGAAAAAUAUGCGUUCUGUAGAUGUAAGGAGCCCUGGUGGUGCAGUGGUUAAGUGCUCGGCUGCUAACCAAAAAAGGUUGGCGGGUUGAACCCACUGGCUUCUGCGCAGGAGAAAGAUGUGGCAGUCUGCUUCCAUAAAGGUGGAAACCAUAUGGGGCAGUUCUGCUCUCCUACAAGAUUGCUGUGAGUUGGAAUCGACUUGGUAGCAAUGAGUUUGGUUUGGUUUUAUAUGUAAGUUCUGAAGCAUAGUAAACAACUGUGAACCUCACCAGGUGACCAAAGAGCUAAAACAUUUCCAGUACUCUUACUGGUCACUGCAUACUCCUUGAUCCCUCUUCCUACCUCUGUCCCCACUAGAUAACUACUAUUGUGAAUUUUGUGUCUAUCAUUCCUUUUUAAAAAUAACUAGUUUUACUACAUUUUUGUUUUACUGUAUGACCUAUUGUUUAGUUUUGAUUUGUUUUUAUAAAGUUCAGUGUUAUGAAGAUGUUAUAAUGUAUAUUAUCUUCUAUAAUUUGCUUUUUUCAAUCAAAAUGAUUUCUAAGAUUUGUCUUUGUUGUCAUGUGUUCCUCAUUUCUAGUGCUGUGUAGUGUUCCAUGGUAUGAAUGUACCGUAAUUUAUCCACUUUCUGGUUGAUGCAUAUUUAGUUUUCCGCUGCGGGGCUAUUUCAGAGAGUUCUGCUGUGAACGUUUCUUGUACCUCCUGCUGCUGUUCGUGUUUAACAGUUUUCCUAGUAUUUGUACCUAGCAGUAGAAUUUAUCAGUCUUUUUUAUGGUUGAGUGCUUUUGUGUCAUAAGUAAUAUUCCCUAGCCAGAGGACUUAAAGGUAUUCUCUUUUAUUUCCCUCUAAAUAGGAGUAGUGGAGCCCUGGUGGUGCAGUGGUUAAGAGCUUGGCUGCCAAACAAAUGGUUGGCGGUUCGAAUCCACCAGCCACUCCUUGGAGACCCUAUGGGGCAGUCUGUUCUGUCCUAUAGGGCCGCUGUGAGUUGGAAUUGACUCAACGACGAUGGGUUUGGUUUUUUUUUGGGGGGGGGGGGGUAAAUAGGAAUAGUCCUUGGAUGGCGCAGAUGGUUAAGUGCUAGACAGGCCUAGUGACCUGCUUCCAAAAAGUUGCACAGCCUUGAAAACCCUGGUAGUUCUGCUCUGCCCACGUGGGAUCCCCUUGAGUUGGAAUCGAUAUCACCAGCAACUGAAAACAACAAGGAGUUAGGGUUUAAUGCAUUGUCUUUCGUGUAUAAGUUCCUAAUCCAUCUAGAAUUAAUUUUUACUUGUAUAUGGGUAAGGUGGGGAUCCGGUCAUUCCAGCACUACUUAUUUAUUUAUAUUGUACUUUAUAUGAGUGUUUACAGAACAAACUAGUUUCUGAUUAAACAGUUAGUACACAUAUUGUUUUAUGAGAUUGGUUAACAACCCCACGACAUGUCAACACUCUCCCUUCUCGACCUUGGGUUUAUUAUUUAUUUAUUAUUAACCAGCUUUCCUGUCCUCUCCUGCCUUCUAGUCCUUGCUCCUGGGCUCUUGUGCCCCUUUAGUCUCAUUUUGUUUUAUGGGCCUGUCUCAUCUUCGGCUGUGAGGGGUGAACCUCGGGAGUGACUUCAUUACUGAGCUAAAAGGGUAUCCGGGAGCCAUAUUCUUGGGGUUUCUCCCAGCACCAUUUCUUGACUAGUCCCACCUGUCCUCGAAACCCAUGGCCACUGAGUUGAUUCUGACUCAUAGCGAAGCUAUAGGACAGAGUAGAACUGUACCGUAGGGUUUCCAAGGCUGUAAAUCUCUACUGAAGUAGACUGAUACAUCUUUCUCCUGCAGAGCUGCUGGUUGUUCUGAACUGCCACCUUUCAGUUGGCAGCCGAUUGCUUUAACCACUGUACUGCCAGGGCUCUUUGCCUAUCUUCAGUGAUCUGUAAUGUCACCUCUGAAUCUGUUUCUCGUAUGUGUAUGUGCUUGCGUAUGUGUGUGACGCCUAGAUAAAUACAGAUAUGCACACAUAAAUAUAUAUACACACAUCUAUUAAAAAGAACUCCAAACUCGGUGCCAUGGAUUUGAUUCUGAUCCAUAGCGAGCGAACCUAGAGGACAGGGUAGAACUGCCCCAUAGGGUUUCCAAGGAGUGACUGGUAGAUUUUAACCAUUGGCCUUUUGGUUAGCAGCGGUAUCACUUAACCACUGCACCACCAGGGCUCCUGCACAUCUACAUGUAUGAAAAUAACAUUAACGUGGUAAAUAAUGUUUUACCUGAUUUUCUUCUGUUUAUUAUGCCUUGAACAUCUUUCCAUGUCAUUAAAUGUAUCGUCAUUGUUGUUGUUAGGUGCCGUUAAGUUGGUUCUGACUCAUAGCGACCCUGUGCACAACAGAACGAAACACCGCCUGGUCCUGAGCCAUCCUUAUAAUUGUCGUUAUGCUUGAGCUCAUUGUUGCAGCCACUGUGUCAGUCUGCCUCGUUGAGGGUCUUCCUCUUUUCCGCUGACCCUAUACUUUGCCAAGCAUGAUGUCCUUCUCCAGAGACCGAUCCCUCCUGACAUGUCCAAAGUAUGUAAGACGCAGUCUCGCCAACCUUGGUUCUAAGGAGCGUUCUGGUUGUACUUGUUCCAGGACAGAUUUAUUUGUUCUUCUGGCAGUCCAUGGUGUAUUCAGUAUUCUUUGCCAACACCACAAUUCAAAGGCAUCAAUUCUUAUUUGGUCUUCCUUAUUCAUUGUCCAGCUUUCACAUGCAUAUGAUGCGAUUGAAAAUACCAUGGCUUGGGUCAGAUGCACCUUAGUCUUCAAGGUGACAUCUUUGCUCUUCAACACUUUGAAGAGGUCCUUUGCAGCAGAUUCACCCAGUGUAAUGCGUCUUUUCAUUUCUUGACUGCUGCUUCCGUGGGUGUUGAUUGUGGAUCCAAGUAAAAUGAAAUCCUUGACAACUUCAAUCUUUUCUCCGUUUAUCAUGAUGUUGCUCAUUGGUCCAGUUGUGAGGAUUUUUGUUUUCUUUAUGUUGAGGUGCAAUCAAUCUAUACUGAAGGCCGUGAUCUUUGAUCUUCAUUAGUAAGUGCUUCAAGUCCUCUUCGUUUUCAGCAAGCAAGGUUGUAUCAUUUGCAUAAUGCAGGUUGUUAAUGAGUCUUCCUCCAAUCCUGAUGCCGCAUUCUUUUUCAUAUAGUCCAGCUUCUCGGAUUAUUUGCUCAGCAUACAGAUUGAAUAGUUAUGGUGAAAGUACAACUGUGGCGCACACCUUUCCUGACUUUAAACCAAUCAGUAUUUCCUUGUUCUGUCUGAACAGCUGCCUCUUGGUCUAUGUAAAGGUUCCUCAUGAGCACAAUUAAGCAUUCUGGAAUUCCCAUCCUUCUCAACGUUAUCCAUAAGUUGUGAUGAUCCACACAGUCGAAUGCCUUUGCGUAGUCGAAAAAACACAGGUAAACAUCCUUCUGGUAUUCUCUGCUUUCAGCCAGGAUCCAUCUGACAUCAGCAGUGAUAUCCCUGGUUCCACGUCCUCUUCUGAAACUGGCCUGAAUUUCUGGCAGUUCCCUGUCGAUAUACUGCUGCAGCCGUUUUUGAAUGAUCUUCAGCAAAAUUUUGGUUGAGUGUAAUAUUAAUGAUAUUGUCUUCUAAUUUCCACAUUUGGUUGGAUCACCUUUCUUGGAAAUAGGCAUAAAUAUGGAUCUCUUCCAUUUGGUUGGCCAGGAAGCUGUCUUCCGUAUUUCUUGGCAUAGACGAGUGAGCACCUCCAGUGCUGCAUCUGUUUGUUGAACUAUCUCAAUUGAUAUUCCAUCAAUUCCUGGAGCCUUGUUUUUCGCCAAUGCCUUCAGAGCAGCUUGGACUUCUUCCUUCAGUACCAUCGGUUCUUGGUCAUAUGCUACCUCUUGAAAUAGUUGAACAUCCACUAAUUCUUUUUGGUAUAAUGACUCUGUGUAUUCCUUCCAUCUUCUUUUGAUGCUUCCUGCGUCAUUUAAUAUUUUCCCCAUAGAAUCCUUCACUAUUGCAACUCGAGGCUUGAAUUUUUUCUUCAGUUCAUUCAGCUUGAGAAACGCCGAGUGCGUUUUUCCCUUUUGGUUUUCCAUUUCCAGCUCUUUGCACGUGUCAUUAUAAUACUUUACUUUGUCUUCUUGAGCCGCCCUUUGACAUCUGCUCAGUUCUUUUACUUCAUCAAUUCUUCCUUUUGCUUUAGCUGCUCAACUUUCGAGAGCAAGUUUCAGAGUCUCCUCCGACAUCCAUCUUGAUGUUUUCUUUCUUCCCUGUCUUUUCAGUGACCUCUUGCUUUCUUCAUGGAUGAUGUCCUUGAUGUCAUUCCACAACUCGUCCGGUCUUCGGUCACCAGUGGUCAGUGCAUCAAAUCUGUUCUUGAGAUGGUCUCUAAAUUCAGGUGGGAUAUACUCAAGGUCAUAGUUUGGCUCUUGUGGACUUGCUCUGAUUUUCUUCAGUUUCAUCUUGAACUUGCAUAUGAGCAAUUGAUGGUCUGUUCCACAGUCGGCCCCUGGCCUUAUUCUGACUGACGAUAUUCAGCUUUUCCAUCGUCUCUUUCCACAGGUAUAGUCAAUUUAAUUUCUGUGUGCUCCAUCUGGCGAGGCCGAUCUGUAUAGUUGCUGUUUGUUUUGGUGAAAGAAGGUGUUUGCAAUGAAGAAGUCAUUGGUCUUGCAAAAUUCUACCAUUCGAUCUCUAGCAUUGUUUCUAUCAUCAAGGCCAUGUUUUCCAGCUACUGAUCCUUCUUUGUUUCUAACUUUUUCAUUAAAAUCACCAGUAAUUAUCAAUGCAUCUUGAUUGCAUGUUUGAUCAAUUUCAGACUGCAGCAGCUGAUGAAAAUCUUCUAUUUCUUCAUCUUUGGCCCUAGUGGUUGGUGCGUAUAUUUGAAUAAUUGUCGUAUUAACUGGUCUUCCUUGUAGGUGUAUGGCUAUUAUCCUAUCAAUGACAGCAUUGUACUACAGGAUAGAUCUUGAAAUGUUCUUUUUGAGGAUGAAUGCAACACCAUUCCUCUUCAAGUUGUCAUUCCCAGCAUAGUAGACUAUAUGAUUGUCCGAUUCAUAAUGGCCAAUACCAGUCCAUUUCAGUUCACUAAUGCCUAGGAUAUUGAUGUUUAUGUGUUCCAUUUCAUUUUUGACAAUUUCUAAUUUUCCUAGAUUCAUACUUUGCACGUUGCAGGUUCCGAUUAUUAAUAUUUCUGAAGAGUAUUAGCCAGUAAAAUGUAUCAUACAUCAGUUUUUAGUGGGUACUUACUAGAUUACAGAAACCCUGGUGCCGUAGUGGUUAAGUGCUAUGGCUGCUAACCAAGGGUCAGCAGUUCGAAUCUGCCAGGUGCUCCUUGGAAACUCUACGGGGCAGUUUUUCUCUGUCCUGUAGGGUCGCUAUGAGUUGGAUGGAAUCUACUUGACAGCACUGGGUUUUUGGUUUUGGUUUGGUUUAGUGGAUUUACUAUAUUCAGUCCCACUAUUCUUUUUAUAUUAUUGUGUUAAUCUUUUAAAUAAUAAAUUCAGGUAGCUCAAAAAGGUAUACAAAUUAAAAAUUUUUCUCAUUCCUGAUCAUCCAGUUUUCCUCUCUAGAAAACUUGUAACCAGCUUCUCUCUCCCCCUCUUUUUUUCCUAUUUGUUUUCAGCAGUCAAAAUCAUAGCAUACCAUACACCCUCUGAUGCUAUAUCUUUUUUCCCUUAACAGUAUAUCUCAACCACACUAACUAUUGAUUUCCUCUUCUACCUGUCCUCUAGUAAUCAGUUGUAUGGUGUAGGAGAGCUUUUGAAUAUGGCUACCUUAACUAACAGCUAGAACGAGGAGAAUGUUAAACUCAGGAAUGAAAUCUGAAAGGGAGAAGACAAAAGCAGGGAACAGAAGAGAGAUGGAAAGAAUAUGGGUAUGAAUAUCAUCAAAUUUUGUUCUCAGGAGGACAAAUUGCGGUUUUAUUGAGAGUUUGUCAGGUUCAUUGUUAACUGUUAAUGUAUACAACAUUUAUCCUUAAAUCAGUCCCGUGAAAUGUAGGCUUUUUUUCCAUUUACAGUUGAGAAAACUGAUUACUCAACCAAGACGGCUAUAUACUGUUAAUGAGUGGCAGAGCUAGAAUUUGAGCACAGGCAUUUUUGACUCCAAAGCCAGGGCUCUUUACCAUUAAAAUGACUCUCACAGAAUAAAGGGAGCUUGAGAAAAAGUACAUAUUCAGUCCCUCUCUUGGAAAUUCAUAAUCUGAAUUACCAUAUUAUGAACUCCUGAGUAGUCGAGCAGUAAGAAAGGAACCAAUUUAACUUUUUUUAAUUUUUAAAAUUUUGUUGAGAAUAUAUACAGCAAAACAUUCAUCUGUUUCUACAUGUACAGUUCAGUGACACUGGUUACAUUCUUUGAGCUGUGCACCCGUUCCCACCGUCUUUUUCUGAGUUGUUUCUCCCCCAUUAACAUAAACUCACUGCUCUCUAAGGUUCCUAUCUGAUCUUUCAAGUUGAUGUUGUCAAUUUGAUCCCAUAUAGAGAGUUUUUAAAAAAGCAUAAUGCUCAAGGCAGACAUUCUUUGAUAGUUAAGCUAAACUAUGGUUUUAAGAAGACUUCAGGGGCUAUUUUUGGUUUAAGGUUUAAAGAUGAUCUCAGAGCAAUAGUUUCAGGAGUUCAUCCAGCCUCCAUGGCUGUUUAACUUGGUUUUAAAUGUUAAAACACACGGGAAGAGUUUGUCAUGCUUACCAAUACCUGGAACAGUUCUUCCUUAACGUUAUUUUCAGAAGUGCCAUCACAGUUGUGUUUCCUUUCUUGUAUCAAAUCUCAUGAAAGGCAAAGGACAGGAAAUUAACUCCUAACUUGGUGACGAGGAGAAGCAGCCCAUAGAAUUCCUACCUAACACAGACCAAAUGUGUAGCUUUUUGGAGGGUGGGGAACGGCAGAUGCCUCAUAGUGUAGUGCAGGGUCACUCAGAAGGACAGGUGUUUUUCCAGAGGUAAAUUGCCUGCGACUACGACUUCUCUUUUCCACGUGACAAAGAAAACAGUUACGUGCCGGCUUUAUUUCAGUGUGUAUGAUAUGUGAAAACUAUAAUACAGCAAAAGGACUUUGGACAUUCAUGUAGAGAGAUUUAAAAAAAUACAUCUGACCAGCAGUGCUUUUCACACAUGAGCUUUGAGUUAAGGACUCAGACUUGGUCGUGGAUUGUUCAUUUUAGCUAAACCACACGUAAUGUAAGCUGUGAUUUAGGAAAUGAAAGACUGUGUCUGUUAUGGGUGUAUUAUUUGAACAUUGGACGGAAACUAGUGUCAGAGAUGGUCAGCAAAUGAAUGAAUCAGCAGUCUAUUUGCAUUUAUUUUACGGGAGAAAGUCAUUUGUAGGCUAAAUUGAAACCCAAUCCCUCUUUAGGAAUUGCAGUCUUAUCUUUUUUUUUUUAAACUGCGUCCUCUGACAUUUUUGUCCAUUUAAUUUUUCAAGUUGUCAUAUUCUAUAAAGCAUCUUGUUGAUGUUUUAAUUGAAAGUACAUUACAUCUAUUGUUUAACUUGGAUAAAAUUGUCUUCUGCAUGAUGUUACGGUUAAUUACAUCUCUGCAACUAAUCAGGAUUUUUUUCGCAUUAAAGUUUAGGUAAUCUUUAAAAAAAAUACAUUCAAUACAUUAAUUACCAAGUAUUUUACACUUUUUAUUGCUGUUUUAAAUGAAAUAUUUUCCCAUUCUUUUUAUAGCUGGUUAUUACUGGUUUACAGAAAUACUACCGGUUUUUGUGGAUUUGCUUUAUAUUCCAGCAUGUAUUGUUGCUGUUGUUAGGUGCCGUGGAAUCGGUUCUAACUCCUAGCGACCCUGUGUACAACAGAACGGAACACUGCCCGGUCCUUUGUCAUCCUCAGGGUCAUCGCUAUGCUUGAGCCUAUUGUUGCAGCCACUGUGUCACUCCAUCUUGUUGAGGGUCUUCCUGUGUUUGCUGACCCUGUACUUUACCAAGCAGAGUGUCCUCCUCCAGGGACUGGUCCCUCCUGAUAAGUGUGUGAGGCUUAGUCUCACCAUCCUUGCUUCUAAGGAGCAUUCUGGCUGUACUUCUUCCAAGACAGAUUUCUUUGUUUGUUUGCCAGUCCGUGGUAUAUUCAAUAUUCUUUGCCAACACCACAAUUAGGCUUCAGUUCUUCGCUCUUCCUCCAACAGCUGUAGUAGAAUAAUUAUUCUAAUAAUUCUUUGCUUAAGUCUUAUAGAUACAGAAUUAAGUAGUGAUAUUUAUCAUUCUAGUUUUUAUUCUUUUUUUAUUUAAGAGAACUAACCUGGAGGAAAGCAUAUGUAAUAUACUGUUAUAAAUAACUAAGUCAAAUUUGCGAUGUAGAUUGUAUUAAUUAUGUUAAAACAAACAAAAAAGCUCUUUAUUUUUUUUUGUGUAAGCGUGGGAUUGAUUGAAUUUUACAAAUUGUAGAGUCUGUUGCUAUCCUGACUCCUUGCAUGAAUCUCCUGCAUGAUGUAUGGUAUCAGUAGUUUUGCCUUUUUUAAAAAAAACUUUCAUUCUUGGAAUAAAAUCUAUUUAGUGUUGUUGUUGUUAGGUGCCGUCGAGUCGGUUCUGACUCAUAGCAACCCUGUGUACCACAGAACGAGACAUUGCCCAGUCCUGCGCCAUCUUUACAAUCGUAGUUAUGCCUGAGCCCAUUGUUGCAGCCACCGUGUCGUCUUUUGUGUGCCUUCCAGCCUGGGGGGCUCAUCUUCCAGCACUAUAUCAGACAAUGUUCUGCUGCUAUUCAUAAAGUUUUCACUGGCUAAUUCUUUUCAGAAGUAGACUGCUGGGUCCUUCCUCCUAGCCUGUCUUAGUCUGGAAGCUCAGCUGAAACCUGUGCUCCGUGGGUGACCCUGCUGGUAUCUGAAUACUGGUGACAUAGCUUCCAGCAUCACAGCAACACGCAAGCCCCACAGUACGUCAAACUGACAGACAGGUGGGGGAAAACCUGUUUAGUAGUUUUUAAUAAUUCCUUGAGGUAUUGUUUUAAUUGCUUAAGAUUUUUACAUCAUUAUUCAUAAACAAGAUGGUCCUAUAAUUUUCUUUUUAAAUUUUAUUUUAUCAGCUUUAAGACGUGAGCAGUAUUUCCUCCACAACCUUUUGGGGUCAGGAAUGCCUUGUUUUUCUUAGAAGGUUUUUGAUUCGUGUGUUGAGGUUUAGUGUGCUUGUGGGGGUGAGGAAGGGAUGGCUGAGUUAUUUUUUUGUAACUUGGUUCGUGUCUUCUGUUACAGAUUGUUUACUCAAGUUUUCUUUAUUAAUUUUGGUAUUUAAUAUUUUAAUAGCAUAUUAUUCAUUGAACUUAAGUUUUGAAAUUUGUUAGCAUCUAAGUGUGGAUGGAAACCUUGAUGACAUAGUGGUUAAGAGCUAUGACUGCUAACCAAAAGGUCAGCAGUUUGAUUCCACCUGGCACUCCUUGCAAACGCUGUGGGGCAGUUCUCUUCUGUCCUGUAAGGUUGCUAUGAGUUGGAAUCAACUCGAUGGGAACAGGUUUGGUUUUUGGUUUUAUGUUGUGUAUAUCAGAAUUUUGUUCUUUUUAUUGGUGAAUAAUAGUCCUCUGUAUCACAGUUGGCCAUUCACCAGUUGAUGCAUAUUUUGGCUGUUUCUUAUUUUAGCCUUGUAAAAAUGGCAUGGAGGCAGUGUUUGACCGCCUCUAACUUCACAAGGGGGAAGGCGAGUCAAGAUCAGCAGCCCAAGGUGGAUUCCUGUGAGGCGGAGAUCAGACAUGCCUCCUCUCUCUGCCAUCUUUACCAGUUAUGACACCAGCCGUCCCUUCCCCAACACUCUCUACCUCUCUGCUGGGUUCAAGAAUUCAUUGUGAUGGCCACAGAGAAUUCACAGACAAUACUCACAAUUACGGGGUUUAUUAGGGAAGUAACAGUUACAAUUCAGGCUCAGGAACACUCAGAAUACAGUUCUUCUAUCAGGAUAGCCUCUUCUCAGCUGUGCCCACAGGCAGGCCUCUUUCUGGCCCUGGGCUUAUACCAUGCUCGGGCAAGUGUUACAAAACUCUUCUAGCACUGCCAAUAAGUACCCCAAGGCACCUCACUCCGCCAGUAGGCCUUGGCCCGAAGGUGCUCAGCUUUACCUCUGUGGGUCAGCAAACCUAGCUCCACCAAGUUUCCAGAGGUACCCUACCCCUUUAGCAAGCCUACUGCCCAAAGGCAAUCAGCUUUCUCACUCUUCGGGCUUGGAAGCCCAUUGCACUGUCUCCUGGUUCUGCUUCUGUUUCUCUGCUACGCUUCUCACUAUCUUCAGUGUUAACAGUGCUUUCUCUCUCUCUCUGUCGAUACUCUUGGAGCAUCUCAGCUCAGGGAUCCCAGGUCCAAAGGACAUGCUUCACUCUUGGCUCUUCUUUCUUUGUAGCAGUGAGAUCCUCUUUCUGCUUUGGAAUUGGUUCUCGUUUAAAUCUAGCAGGAUGGCAAAACCGACCAAUCCCCUUACCGGGCCACAGUUAAUUUUUUUUUUUUUAAUAAUUUUUAUUGUGCUUUAAGUGAAAGUUUACAAAUCAAGUCAGUCUGUCACAUAUAAGCUUAUAUACACCUUAUACCGUACUCCCACUUACUCUCCCCCAGUGAGUCAGCCCGCUCCCUCCUUCCAGUCUCUCCUUUCGUGACCGUUUUGCCCUCUCUACCCUCCCAUCUGCCCUCCAGACAGGAGAUGCCAACACAGUGUCAAGUGUCCACCUGAUACAAGUAGCUCACUCUUCAUCAGCAUCUGUCUCCAACCCAUUGUCCAGCCCCUUCCAUGUCUGAUGAGUUGUCUUUGGAAAUGGUUCCUGUCCUGGGUGGGCCAACAGAAGGUUGGGGACCAUGACUGCCGGGAUUCUUCUAGUCUCAGUCAGACCACGAAGUCUGGUCUUUUUAUGAGAAUUCUGGGUCUGCAUCCCACUGUUCUCCUGCUCCCUCAGGGGUUCUCUGUUGUGCUCCCUGUCAGGGCAGUCAUCGGUUGUGGCCAGGCACCAUCUAGUUCUUCUGGUCUCAGGAUGAUGGGCCACAGUUACCUUAUUUGCACAGUCCCACCCAGUGACUUGGGUGAGAGUUACAAGACCAUGGCUAGAAAAGCCACUCAAAACGAUCCAUUGCACUGCAGGGCUGUUACGAAUAAGCUGGCUGUGAACAUUUGAGUAUGUCUUUUCAUGGCCGCAUGUUUUUAUUUCUCUUGCAUAAAUACUUAGUGGGAUCGCUGAGUCAUGUUGUAAGUAUAUGUCUCACUUUUAAAGAAACUAUCAAAUUGCUUUCCAAAGGCUGUAGCAUUUUGCAUUCCCACUAGCAGUGUGUGAGACUUCUGGUUGCUCCAUUCUCACCAAAUCUGGGUAUUGUUAGUCUUCUUAAUAUCAGACAUUUUAAUAUACAAGUCACUGUACCGCAAGUGUGUUAACCUUUUGUACCACCCAGAGACUCCAUUUUUGGUUCACUAACUGUAAAUCUUUGUUUUACAUUUUUAAUGGUUGAUAUAAAGAGUUUGUAGUAUACAUCUUUAAUUUAUCGCCAUCUGUGUCAAAAUAAUGUUUUCCUAAGUUCUUUAUAACUUAAGGAGCUUUAAUUUCCCCUCUUCCAUUAACUUUCACAACAUAAGCUGCUGGUAACUGAGUUCCUUAAAACAACACUAUUAAUUUGUAAACCAACUCUAUGGGACAGUAAUUCAAAUAGGGCGCAUUGGGGAUUGUCUGUCUCUGUCGCAUGAUGUCUGUAGCCUCUGCUGGGUCAGCUCAAAACUAGGGACUGGAAUUAUCUGAAGGUUUGCUCACUCACAUGUGAAGUAGUUGAUACUGGCUCUCAACUGAGACUUUAGCUUUGUCUGUGAGCUGGAACCCAUAUACAUGGCAUUUCUGUGUGGCCUAAUUUUUCUUACAACUUGGUGGUUGGGUUCUAAAGGAAAGUAUCCUGACAGAAAGCGAGCCAAGUAGAAGCUGUAUUGCCUUUUAUGACCUAGCCUUGACCUAGAGUCAUGCAGUGUCACUUCUGCCAUAUUCUCUUGGUGGAGGCAGUUGAAAGAGCUCCCAGGUUCAAGUAGGGAACAUAGGCCCCCCCCCACCCCCGCAUCUUGGUGGAGGAAUAUCAGUGUCACAUUGGAAGCAGAGCAUGUGAGUUGGGAUGAGAGGCAAUCUUUGAAAACUACAAUCUACCUACUCUCUCCUGUUUUUGUGGUAUGUUGUCAGAUGUUUUAAUUCUUUGUGUGUUAUAAACUAUAACACCUUAUUAUACUUAUAUACUUAUAAUACUUUGCUUUAAACAUGCCUUUUAUAUUUAUCCACAUAUUUACCAUUCCUGUCAUUCUUAAUUACUUUGUGUAUAUCCAGAUUUCCACCUGGUAUCAAUGUUCUUCUGCCAGAAGAACUUUCUUUAAAAGCAUUUCUUGUAGUAGAAUUCUGCUGAUGAUGAAUUAUCUCAGCUCCUUUAUUGGUCUAGUAUUUUGUUUUCACAUUUGAAAACUAUUUUCACUUGAUAUGGAAUUCUAGGUUGACAGGUUUUUUUUUUUCUUCAGGGUGUUUUUCUCUUCUGUCCCGCAUGAUACCUAAUAGGAGGACUGACUGCUUUUGUUUUUAUGUUUGUUCCUCUGUGCAUAAUUGACUUUUCCCCUCUAGAUGCUUGAAGUUUUUAUCUUUAUCAGUUUUUUUUUUAGCAUUUGAUUUUAAUGUGCCCUGGUUGUGAGUUGAUAAGUCUCAAAUUCCACCUUUUCCGACACCAACUUUGAGGGUGUAACAAAUCCCCACUUUACACUUCUGUGUUCAGUUCUGACAUCAGUUGCUCAUGCAGCACUUCUUCCUCUGUCCCUAAGCACCUGGAGCUAGGUCAGAGCUCACAAAUUAAGAGACACAGCCCUCCAGACUGCUCAGUAGGCCCAGGACUCCAAAUGCCGGCCACAAGUUUGGGAGUCCACACAACACCCUUACUUCUGACCUGCUGGUUACAAAUUCGGGGGUUUCCCACUACUACUUCAGGAUACCAGCUGCAAGUUUGGGGGUCCCCCCCUGGUCUUCCUUACUUCUGACCUGGCUACAGAUUUGAGGGUUCCCUCUACCUCCACAAGAUAUCAACCAUAAGUUUAGGGGUCCUGGCCCCCUUCACUUUCUUUGGACCUGCUGGCUCCCACUACUUCCUCAGGUUUGAUAAUUCGCUGGAAUGACUUAGAACUCAUGAAAAGUGCUGUACUUACGAUUACAGCUUUAUUAUGGGGAAAAAAAAAAAAAAGAUAUAAACAAAGAGAUGCAUAGGCCAAAGUCUGGGAAGGUUCCCAGUGCAGAGCUUCUGUGUCUCAAAAAGGGACAUGCUAUCCUCCCAUGUACAUUGAUGUCUUUCACCAACCAGGAAGCCCAUGGAGCUUCCAUGUGCAGAUCCUUUAUUACGUUCUCAUUGCACAGCACUUGAUUGAGUCAUAUCCCCCCUAACCCCCAGUCUGCUGAUACCAGGCCACAUGAUGGUCUUUCUGGCCAGUAUCAAAGUAGAAAAUCUUACCACUCUGUUAGGAGUAAAGGAAAGGGAGUUUUAUUGAGGAAUAAUACAGCUCGAGCUGGGCAGUGCUAAGGUGAAAAUACAAAGCUCUCCAUGGUUCAAGCAGAGAGAGGGUUCUGUAUACAUAGAGAACAAAAGGAAAGGUUAAUGAUUGAUUGUAGGUAAGAUCAGCUUCAGCUUGAAGUCCUUUAAAAUGCAAAGGUCAUUACUUGGCUAGGAAGGAGUGAGUUACCACCUGGGUGAGUGGUACCUGCUGGUUUGGUAGUCGGUUAUACAUGAUUGUAGUACCCCCUCUUUGGACUGCAGUGAGAAUGUCAAGGGUCAUUCUAUUUUGGAGUACUGCUUUUCUCAUCAUUGCUGUUUCAUUAUUGAUCUCUUGAAGUCCUCGGGCACUGUCACGUAGAGCAGUUUGUACAUACUUGGUUAAGAGCCCUACAAGUUCCAUAACAUCUACAAGUCCUACCUGAGGUGUGAAUACUGUCGCUAAAUGAUCAAACCAGUAAACACUAAUGGAGACCGUUGAGGUCUUAAUAUGGGUACAUUAGUUGGUAAAGGGAAUUCACUUAAAAUAUGUCUUUUGGGUCCAACUCUGGCCCAGAGUAUAUUCUCCAACCCAGUCUGGGGGGAGACAAGGCCAAAGGUUGGUUCUAAUAGCCAUAAUGUGCUGUUAGGGGCUACCCAGUAGAUACCUGAGUGGCAUAAGCAAUCAGUGGCAAAUCAAUUAUUAGCUUGUAGGGUUAUAGCUGAUGUACAUUCAGACAUUGGAAGCCAUCCCAUAGGUCUGGUAACAGCUGGGUUAUUCAUAUAGGUGUGGUUAGAUUGUUCUUAGCAAAGGGGAGCAACUUGACUUAACCUCCCUGUUUGGAGAGUUAACCAGAUGAAUCUGCCCUGCAUUUGUUGAUAAUGGGCCUACAAUAUGAAAAGUACUGUUUGUGGGUUCAGAAGAUUCUUGCGCUAACCCUUUUUGGGUGAUUUUAUUUAGUAAAGUACAAGUUGUGCUAGGGCUAAAAGUUAAAUUAUGGCCUGGCUUUUGUUCACAACCAAAAAGAGGCCAUUUAUCAAUAGAAAAUCCAGUUAAUAGUGAUUUCCUGUAGUAAUGAACUAUUUCGGUGUUGCUCUUGUAUUCAUGCAUCAAGAGGAACCCAGUCAGAUCCCUGUAGUGGAGAGACUUACCAGGGGCUGGGAUGGCACCACAUAUUCAACAGUUAAACCUUUUAAAAUGGUGAGCAUAAGUGUGUGCCAUAUCUAGGAAAACAUCAGUCAAGGCAUGACUGCAGCAAAGGUAAAAAGAUAAAGGGGUACAUUUUCCAGGCCUGGUCUUGAGUCAGCCAUCUGCCUCAGAUAUCUGCUUCUAGUCACAGGAGCAUUUAAAUGUAACCUUCAAUUCUCCAGUGUGUUGGCUAGUCUAUAGAGGAGUCUUUGCCUUUAACUGUGACAGAUGGAUCCAAGUUUUUAUUCCCUCUAAUUUGACUGCAAAUGGAUUGGUGAGGAGGACUAAGUAUGGUCCUUUCUAACGAGGUUCUGACGAGUCUUUUAUUUGAUGUCUCUUCCAAUAUACAUAUUCUCCUAGCGUGAUGUUAGGUGGACUUUGGGAGUCUAGUUUCUGUUUGUCAGAGGCUUGUCUAACCUGUGAAAGAUACUCUUUAGAAUAUUGGGUUAAAGAUUGGCAGUACUUCAGUAACUCAGGUUGAACAAUGUUAGGGUUGGUGCAGGCAACAUAAGUAAAUGAAUAAUUUCUUUUAUAAGGAUCUGUACAAAGCUGGUUCCUCUGAGGUGGAGGUUAAAGAUGUCUCAAAAGUCCAACUUUUCCAAACGCAGUACCACUCCGUCGUCUCUAAUAUCAGCUAUUUCCUCUCCCCUCAGCACUCUCCCUCCCAUCUUUGGGUUCCCUAAUUCACUGCAACAUCUCAUGGAACUCACGAAUUGUCUAAACGAAAUGGCUCAUGCGAUUGUGGAGGCUGACAAGUCCCAAAUUCAUGAGUCAGGCAUAGGCUUCUCCUGACCCAUGUGGCUUCAAGAGCCAACGAACCCAACUGGCCCAAACCAGCAGUUCACACCACAGGCUGCUGGCUGCAAGGCUGCAGAAGCUGGCAAAUUAGGUCACAUGAUAGGCCACUGGCCCAAGGGACUGUGGAGGCCAGCGAAUCCCAGAAUUGGCAGGUCAGACAGCAGGCCUCUGGGGAGGUCAGUUGAUCACAAACUGGAGGCGGGCUUUAGAUGCAGAGAGAGAGAGCCUUGCCAGGACACAUAUGUAUCUUAGAUGCAGGCCACAACCCAGGGAAGGGUGUAACUUUUUGGUAAGAGUGGGGCUUGAGUCACACUGUCCUGCAAGGCUGCAAUCUAGGACAUACCUUAUACCAAUCCUGCCUCAUCAGCAUGCAGAGGCCAGGAUCCACAACACGUAAAAUGGAGGACAGCCACACAGUCCUGGGAGUCAUGGCCCAGUCAAGUUGACACAUAACCCCAACCAUCACAGGUUCCAUAUACCUUAUUUGCAAGUCUCACUCAGUCGUUACGUGUGAGCCACAAAGACCAUGGCUAGAAGGGCCAUAUUAAGUAAUUCUUUGCACUGCAAAAAGGAAGGACCGUGAGUCUCCAGUAAUUAUUUCAUAGGGGGUAAGUUUGUGAGAUCCAAAUGGCCUGAACCUCAGAUUUAAAAAAACUAAGGGAAGGAACUUAGUCCAGAAUGAACUUAAAGUUUCACAAAGCUUUGCUCUGUGGGUCUUUAUUAUUCCAUUAGUUCUUUCUACUAGACCGGGAGACUGAGGAUGUUGGGGACAGCAUAGUCUUUGAUAAAUGGGAAAAACUUGACACGGUUCUUGGAGGAUUUGACCAGUGAAAUGAGUUCCCCGAUCUCUACAAAGAAGUUUUGGUGCUUCCCAGGUGAGUAUGAUAUUUUCAAGAAGUUUCUUUGCAACAAAGGCUGCAGUAGCAUGAUGGCAGGGGAAUACUUCUAUCCCAAUGUGAAAAUCUACAAAUCAUUACUAAUACAUAUUUAUAAGUGAGUGUGGAAGCUGAAUAAAAUAGAGCUACCAUUUAAGCAUAGGCCCAGAAAGUAAAUGGUAUUGUCCAGGUAGGACUUAAAGGUGUUUUCCAGGAUCGUAGCAAGGGCAAAUAGGGCAAUGGGUGGCAGCAUGUUCGGCAGCCUUGAAAAAAUUUUCCCCAAUAAUAUUUUUUUAAGAUCUCAGUCAUUUUCUCUUGUCCCAUGUGGGAAUUUUUGUGUGAGGUUUGCACCAUAGGAACAUGCAGAAAAUUGGGUAAGACAGUUUUCUUAUUAGACCCAGUCCACAAUUUAGUGGCAAGAUAUUGGUAGUAGCCUGCCUUUUUUUUAUGCCUUAAUUUCAUCUCUUUUGGCUAGUUGUUAUUUUAAAAAUUUUUCACGAAGGUUGGAGUUAUCAGUAGACAAAUUUGGGGAGUCCCUUUCUUUAUCUAUUGUAAGUGCAAUAAUGACUUGAGAGGCAGUUUGUUUGGCCGCCAUAUCAGAAAGAUUAUUUCCUCAGUUUUGGGUGCUCUUUUUAAUUGGUAAACUUGUAUUUUUAUCAAGCAAUUUUAGAAGGAAGUAAUAGAGUGUCUAGAACGGCUGCUACUAAAGCUCCAUUUAUUUAUGGCCUUUCUGGAGGAGGUUAAAUCCUCUUUGUUUCCAUAAUAUGCCAAAAUUGUGUAUCAUUCCAAAACAAUAUCCAUUUUCCAUAAAAAUGUUAACAUUCUCCUGAAGCAAUUCUACAAGCUCUAGUGAGGUCAGUUAAUUUGGCUUGUUGGACUGAAGUGACUUCAGGGAGGGCUUCACUUUCAAGGACGUCAGUAGAAGUCAGUACAGUGUAUCCAGCUUGAUAGUGAGGACUAGUAGGCUUAGUAUAAAUAGGUACCAUCCACAAACAAAACUAAAUCAGAAUUAGUUAAAGGGAUCUCCUUUAAGUCUUUCUGAGGGGUUAAAAGUUGCUCAGUCAAGUUUAGACAGUCACGUGUAGGCUCACUGGUUGCAGCGAAAAGAGUAGCUGAAUUUAAGCAGGCCAUAGAGUGUAGUCUAAUGUUAGAAGCAGCCAGUAGGAGAACUUCAUAGGAGCAGAGCCUACGAGGAGAAAGAUGUUGUCUCAAGGCAGAAUUAAGUAAGGUAAACACAGCAUGGGGCACACACCCAAAACACAAACCUGUUGCCAUCAAGUCAAUUCUGACUCAUAGUGACCCUACAGGAUAGAGUAGAACUGCCCCAUAUGGUUUUCAAGGAGCGCCUGGUGGAUUUGUACUGCCAACCUUUUUAUUAGCAGCUGACCUCUUAACCAUUACACCACCAGGGCUCCCUGGGGCACACAGACAUCUAAAAUGUUUCCCAGCACAUCUGCUAUGGCUUCCAUUAGUUUGGCAGUAGUAGCCACAGCCCCAAAGCAGGGAGGGUACCCUCUGGCUACCUGGUCAAGCUGUAGGCUUGUUGUCCUCCAUGUUUUUGAGUUAGUAUGCCGAGUGUGUUUCCAGAUACUUCAUGUGCAAAUAAGGAAAAAUCUAUAUGGUAGUUAGGAAAACCUAGAGCAGGAGUGUUCAUUAAAGCCACUUUCAGUUGAACUACGGCUUCUCGAUCUUCUAGUGCAAUUUGGAAUGAAUCUGGCUCGGGGACUUAUAAAUAUGUGUAUAAAGGAUGAACCAACAAAGAAAAAUUGGGAAAUCUAGGUUCAGCAAUAGCUGCAGAGUCCUAGAAACCCCCAUAGCUGUUUAUUUGUUUUUGGUAUAGUAAGGACAAGAAUAGCUGCUUUCCAUUUAGGAUCAAUAGAGAUGCCUUCUGCAGAACUUAGGUGGCCAAAUAUUUAACAGAAGAUGGAGCCAACUGUAAUUUUCUGUGGAAACCUUAUGUCCAGCAGCAGCCAGAUGUUUUAAUAAAGCUACACUGUCAUCAAGUCAGGCUUGCUGGGAGGUUGAGCAAACUAACAAAUCAUCAGUGUACUGCAGCAGCGUAGAUUUGUAGACUGUAAAGGCUGCAGAGCCACAUGCAGAAUCUGAGAAAGAUAGGUGGGAAGUUCAGUAAAUCCUCUGGGAAUUACAGUCCAGGUAAAUCGUUGAUUUUCUCAGGUGAAAGCAAACAGAUCUUGACUUUAAGAAUGCACGGGAAUACUGAAAAAGACACAGCAGAGAUCCACAGCUGUAAAAUGAGUUGUCUCUGAAGGGACAUUGGAAAGUAAUAAAUGAGGAUUAGGAGCUACUGGGAAUCUAGGAAUAACAAUAUGGUUGAUUGCACGCAAACCCUGAACAAAUUUCCAGCCCCUGUUAUUUGAUUUUUUUAACUGGAAGAACAAAAGUAUUAUGAGGGCUAGUACAAGGGACAAUUAAAUCUUUAGAAAGGAAAUCUUGUAUGAUGGAAGCUAGUCAUUUUGCUUCUCGUUUGAGUGGAUACUGGGGAAUUUUUGGCAGAGGUUUAGAUAAAUCUAUUUGAAUUUUAAUCAGUUCAGCUGACAAAAGUUUGCCUACAUCUGUGGAUGCGGUAGCCCAUAACGUUUCAGGAACUAGGGAAAAGAUGUCAGAAGGGAGAGGAUUAGGCUGGGCUGAAUUUUGGAGAGGCAUGAUGAGUGCUUGCAUAUAGCAAAUGGCUUCUUUGUCCUGAGUAUUGUCUAACUCAGAGCCUGUCUCUGUUGACUUAGGGAUAUCAGGCAGACUCAGUAAUAUUUCCCCCUUUUCAUCAAGUUGUAAAAGGUAAUUCCAUUUGGAUAAAAAAUCUCUUCUCAAUAGAUUGACAAAGGUGUCAGAACUGAGCAAAAAAAGGUGUAAAUCUUCAGUAGCACCAAAGAUAUCUGAACAGGUUGGGAAUGCAUCAGUGUUUGUUCCUGAUUGAUGACUCCCACUGCUUUUGAGGUUUUAGUGCUCCGGGGCAGGGGCUUUUGUAAACAGGUGGAGUUAAUAGCAGACAGGGUUACUCUAGCGUCAAUUAAAAAUUCGCUAGGUUCUCCAUUAACAGAUAAUUUCUCCUUGCAGAUUAAGAGCCACCACAGGAAAAGUCCCUAUUUUGACCCCAGAGCCCUUUCAUUCUGAAUCAGAUUGUGGGAUUUUUUUUUUUAAGGGGGGCUGUGUCAAUCUUUUAAUUUUUUGACAUACAGCAUUCAUUUUUCUAAUGGCCGUAUGGUGACAAAUACUGGCCUUUGUGUCAUUGAAAGGUUUAGCAUUUUUCUUUUGACUGGGAGAUAUUAAUUGUAACUGAAGGGCCAUUAAUUUACUAGCCUCAGAAACCCAUUCAGCUUCAAGAGUCUGGGAAAAUUGGUAAGCUAAGUUGAUUAGCUUGACAAUAGGAGCUGUUUCUCAGUCUAAUCGAUGGCUGCUUUACUAAGGCUGGGAUCGCAGGCGUAAGAACAGAUAUGAAAACAGCGUUGAAAGCUCCAGAAACACCAGGUGGCGGUGAAAGUUAAGUGCAGAGUGUUCGGAAAACUUGUGGAGCAGCCGAGUCUAAUAAUCAUAAACACUUUCAUUUUUGUUUGCAAGAGUUAAUUUUCGUCCCGUCCAUUAGUGGAGGAAAGGCCUUUGGUAUAGCCUCUAGCAGUUUUUCACUGACGAACUGAGAGUCUCCAACAGCGUGUUGGCCAUUUUAUCAGUAUUUAAGGCUAAAGCCCUUGGGGUCUUUCCAUCCGGCCUCUUCUAGCCAUAAGUGGGCUUCCUCUGUGCCAGUAAUCACGUGAAUAAGCUGAUAAGCUGGGAAGCCCAGGCUGGUAGGCUUCAACAAGAAUUUGAAAUGCUUCAUAAAAUUUGUAGGACUCUUCAUGGAGUUGAGGAAAAUCUUUCAUGAUGCUCUGUAAUUAUGAGCAUGUCCACGGGGCAAACAUGAUACAAAUGGAAUCCUCAGCAUCACUGCAAUUUUAUUUCUUACUGUGCUUUAGAUGAAAGUUUACAGCUCAAUUUCUCAUGCAAAAAUUUGUACAUACAUUGUGACCCUAGUUGUUGUCCCUAUAAUGUGACCGCGCAGUCCUCCUUUCAACCCUGGAUUUCCCGCGUCCAUUCAACCAGCUCCUGUCUCUUUCUGCCUACUCAUCUUGCCUCCGGAUCCAAAAAAACCCCAGUGCAUCGAGUCAGGAGCCCCCAUUUAGUCUCAUGUAUCUGCUUCAACUAAGAAGCACACUCUUUGCGAGUAUUAUUUUAUGUUCUAUAGUCCAGUUUAAUCUUUUUCUGAAGUGUGGGCUUUGGGAAUGGUUUUAGUUCUGGGUUAACAGUGUCCGGGGGCCGUGGCUUUGAGGGUUCCUCCAGUCUCAGUCAGACCGUUAAGCCUGGUCUUUUUAUGUGAAUUUGAGUUCUUCUCCACACUUUUCUCAUGCUUCAUCGUGUACUCUCUGUUGGGUUCUCUAUCAGGGCAGUCAUUGGUGGUAGCCAAAUACCAUCUCAUUCUUCUGGUCUCAGGCUAAUGGAGUCUCUGUCGGUUUUCUAACUUACUGUUCAGAGAAGUUAACUUAGAUCAAAAGAGCCCCAGAGCGGCCACUGAUUUUCCAAAUUGUCUUGAGUGAGGUUCUGCCAGGUAGAAAAGAACAUGCAUGAUAGGGGACCAUAAUGCUUGUUCAUGUAGUGAGCAGAGUUCGAGAAGGUGGCUCCAAAUCUCCUUUAGACACAACAUUCCCCCUUUUAUAAUGACAGUUAGAGUGAAACAAACUUUUUCUUGUAAGAACAACAGCAACAACAAAAAUCCACAAUAAAACUGGAAGAGCUAUCAAUGCAAGGGAGCAGAGCUCAGAUUUGGGAGGUUUUUUUUUUUUUUUUUAAACUUUAAAUGCUUCCCAAGAAUUUGUGGAAGCAGAUAGCCCAAAGCGGCUCAGCAGGUACCAUGCCUGGGUCCUGAUUCCCCAGAGAUCAUGAUAGAUAAUGCACCUUGGAAAUUCCAUUUCUGAGGCCGGAAAUGUCAAAGGAGAAAAUCUCAUACUCUGUUAGGAGUAAAAGAAAAGGAGCUCUAUUGAGGGACAAUACAGCUUGAGCUGGGUAAAAGUAAAAACACAAAACCCUCAAUCAUUCAAGCAGAGAGGUCUGUAUACAGAGAGAACAAAGGAAAAGUAGGGGGGUUAAUGAUUGUAGAUGAGAUCAGCUUUAGCUUGAAAUCCUUUAAAAUGUAAAUAUCAGCCACUUGGCUGGGAAGGAGUGAGUUGACACCUAGGUGAGUGGCACCAUCUGGUUUGUUUAUACAUAAUUGUAGUUGGUUAUACAUGAUUAUAGUUAUAUGUGAUUGUAGUCACGAAAACUUUUUUUUUUUUUUUCCUGUGGGAGGAACAAGUUGUUUACAUCUUGACACAUCUAUCUCAAAUGGUUUACAUCCUGACCUUUUGUGUCCUGGGAGUGUAUGUUGGCCCCAUCAUUCUUAGGUCUAACACAAGUAUCUCCAGUUUGAAACUUUUCCAUUUAUAGCAGGCUAGCUGCCACUCAUUAGCACAAGCCCUCAGGUGAGGUCUGGAGGCUUUAGAUAACAGAAGCACCUCAUUUAACUCAGGAAAUUCCAAGGGUUUAGAGUUCUCAGGCAACAAGGGCAAAGACUAAAUUAAUUUGGGAAAGUUAAAUUCUUUAGCCCAGAGUUUGGCUUUCUUUAUGUUUCUUCUGCUUGGUACCUGUUGAAUUUCUUGGAUCUGUGGGUUUAUAGUUUUCAUCAAAUGUGUAAAAUUUUCAACAAUUGUUUUGUCAGUUUUUUCCCCCCUGUUCUUCCUUUACCCUUAUUGAAGCUCAAUUUUUUUUUUCAGUCUUUCUUUUGAUAAUUUUGUGGAAUAAAUUUUAAAAUUAAAAAUAGGUAUUAUACUUUUAUUUCUAUAGGCUUUUCCUAACUUGAACCUAAAAAUUACAGACCCAAAUUAAUCCUGUUUGUGGCUUCCCUGGUCUGUUUUUUUCUCCCAAAGUUGCUAAUUAACUUUUCUUUACUGUUCAGGAAAACAAACAACAACAAAAACACACCCAUUGCCAUCCAGUCGGUUCUGACUUAUAGCGACCCUAUAUAGGGUGUCCAGGGCUGUAAAUCUUUACAGAAGCAGACUGCCACAUCUUUGUCCCUCAGAGUGGCUGGUGGAUUUGAACUGCCAACCUUUGGGUUAGUAGCUGAGUGCUUAACCACUGCAUCACUGGGGCUCUUUGCUGUUCUAAGAGCCAUCAGUUGCAAAACCAUUAUCUCAUGAUUUAAUAAAAAAAAAGACUUGUUGUUGGGUGCCAUCGAGUCGGUUCUGACUCAUAGCGAGCCCAUGUACAACAGAACGAAACACUGCCUGGUCCAGCGCCAUUCACAUAAUCGUUGUUACGCUUGAGAGCGUUGUUGCAGCCACUGUGUUAAUCCAUCUUGUUGAGGGUCGUCUUCUUUUUCACUGACCCUCCACUUUACCAAGUGUGAUAAAGUGGUAAAGUCCAAGGACUGAUGCCUCCUGAUAACAUGUCCCAAGUAGGUGAGAUGUAGCCUCUCCAUCCUUGCUUCUAAAGAGCAUUCUGAUUGUACUUCUUCCAAGACAGAUUUGUUCCUUACUUUGGCAGUCCAUGGUAUAUUCAAUAUUCUCUGCCAGCACCACAAUUCAAAGACGUCAAUUCUUCAGUCUUCCUUAUUCGUCGUCCAACUUUCACAUGUGUGUGAGGCGAUUGAAAACACCAUGGCUUGGGUCAGGCGCACCUUAGUCUUCAAGAUGACGUCUUCGCUUUUCCUACACUUUAAAGAGGUCCUUUGCAGCACAUUUGCCCAAUGCAAUGCAUCUUUUGAUUUCUUGAUUGCUGCUUCCAUGGAUAUUGAUUGUGGAUCCAAGUAAAAUGAAAUCCUUGACACUUUCACUCUUUUCUCUGUUUGUUGUGAUGUUGCAUAUUGGUCCAGUUGUGAGGAUUUUUUGUUUUCUUUAUGUUGAGAUGCAAUCCUUAGUGAGGGCCGUGGUCUUUUAUCUUCAUCAGUAAAUGCUUCAAGUCGUCUUCAUUUUCAGCAAGCUAGGUGGUGUCAUCUGCAUAUUGUAGGUUGUUAGUGAGUCUUCCUCCAGCCCUGAUGCCCCGUUCUUCUUCAUGUAAUCCAGCUUCUUGGAUUAUUUGCUUAGCAUACAGAUUGAAUAAAUAUGGUGAAAGGAUACAACCCAGAUUCACACCUUUCCUGACUUCUAAACCAUGCAGUAUCCUUGUGUUCUGUUCAAACAACUGCCUUUUGGUCCGUGUGCAGGUUCCUCAUGAGUGUAAUUAAAUGUUCUAGAAUUCCCAUUCUUCACAAUAUUAUCCGUAAUUUGUGAUGAUCCACACAGUCGAAUGCCUUUGUAUAAUCAGUGAAACACGGGUGAACAUCUUUCUGGUAUUCUCUGCUUUGACCUAGGAUCCAUCUGACAUCAGCAGUGAUAUCCUUCAUUCCACGUCCUCUUCUGAAACCGGCUUGAAUUUCUGGCAGUUCCCUGUCAGUAUACUGCUGCAGCUGCUUCUAAAUGAUCUUUAGCAAAAUUUUACUUGUGUGUGAUAUUGUUUGAUAAUUUCUGCAUUGGGUUGGAUCAUCUUUCUUGGGAAUCGGCAUAAAUAUGAAUCUCUUCCAGUCAGUUGGCCAGGUAAGCUGUCUUCCAAAUUUCUUGGCAUAGACAGAUGAGCACUUCACGCGCUGUAUCUGUUUGUUGAAACAUCUCAGUUGGUAUUCCGUGGAUCCCUAGAACCUUGUUUUUUUCCAGUGCCUUCAGUGCAGCUUGGACUUCUUCCGUUAGUACCACUGGUUCCUGAUCAUAUGCUAUCUCCUGAAGUGGUUGAACAUCCACCAGUUAUUUUUGGUAUAGUGACUCUGUGUAUUCCUUCCGUCUUCUUUUGAUGCUUCUUAUGUUGUUUAAUAUUAAGUGAUGCACAGACCACCUAGUAAUCUGAUACCAAUUGAUCUCAGUAAAAGGGGAAGGGCAGGGUUCAAUCAAUCAUGUUAAAAUUAACCAAUGUUCCAUCUUACACUCUUCUCCCGCCUCUUUAUAAGCCUCAUUGUAACUAGCCUACUUUAAGACAUUUAUUUUUUUUAGAAACAGAAUGGUCUCACUAUAAGCAUAUAAAAUAACUGCUCAAAAUAACCCUUAUGUUUCAGUUUGAGUUUUGCUCAUUUUUAACAGUUUCUGUUGCUGUCUUAAAGUUCACCAGACUUUUUUUCUGCAUUAUCUCAUCUGCUCUUAUUCUUAUCCAGUGUAUUUUUCAUUUCAAAAGAUAUUAUGCUCUUAAUGUCUGUAAGUUCUGUUUGGAUCUUUACUUUUUUUAACUUCCCAUUCCUCUCCUUUCUGCGUCAUGUUCAUAUGAAGCAUAUUGAUAAUCCAUUUUAGUGUCCUUGUCUUCUAAUUAUUAUCUGUAUCAUUUACAGGUUUGUUUUGAUUAAUUAGUUUUAUCUUCUGAAUAUGGGUCAUCUUUGCCUGCUUCUUCCCUUGCCUGAUGACUGUGUUGGAUGACAAGCGUUACGAAUUUCGCAUUACUAGGAACUGGAUUUUGCUGUAUUUCUUUAAAGAGUGUUAGAUUUUAUCCUGUCACACAAUAACUUACUUUUGGAUCCCAGUUUGAUCAUUGUGAAGCUUGUUUUUAAGAUUGGUUCAGAGCAGUCUUUAUCCUUGAUAAUUUAGUCCCACUACACCAGGUGCUCCUUGGAAACUCUAAGGGGCAGUUCUACUCUGUCCUAUAGGGCCACUAUAAGUCAGAAUCGACUCAACGGCAACAGAUUAUUAAGGUGGAACCUUGGUGGUAUGAUGAUUAAGGACUUGGCUGCUAACCCAAAAGCCGGCAAUUUGAGUCCACCAGCUGCUCCUUGGAAACCCUGUGGUGCAGCUCUGCUCUGUCCUAUAGGGUCGCUAUGAGUUGGAACCAACUCGGUGGCACCUAACAACAACAGCUAAGGUGUGAUUUUUCUGGACGCUGUACCCAAAGCCUGAGUCUGACCAGCGGAAUCAAAAACUAUUCCCAGACCUUUGGGAGCCCUGGGAAUUGCUGGGCCUACUGCUUUUUGGUAGCUUAUCCCCUGACCUUGGGGAGGCUAUUUCUUCUUGUGCACUUGCAAAUCCAAGAUUCAAGGGAAUGCCUCUGUAGCUGUUUAAUGCUGUCUAUGCAUUCUCCUUCCUCUGUACUACUCUCUCCUUCAAAUUCUAGCUGUCCGGGCUUCCUCCAACUCUGUUGUCUCCUCAACUCAGUGAGACCCCAGGGUUCUGUUUCAGUGUCCUUCCCUGCAGUGAAGCCUGGAAACUGUUUGCAGGCAGUAAGUUUGUUUAAUCAUAGAACUUUAUUUCCUUUCUUUAAGGAUCACGGAGUUGUGCUGCCUUUUGUCCAGUGUCUGAAAACUGUUAUUUCAUGUAUUUUGUCUGGUUUUCUAGUUGUUUACAGCAGGUAGGCAAUUCCUGUAGCAGUUACAACUUCAUGUUCAGAAGUGGAAAUCUUUCUCUUUAAAUUUUGUUGAGACUUUUCAACAAUCUUAUCAGUUUGAUUUGCCAGUGGGUUUUGUGUCAGUUCUACUUUUUAAAUUUCCACCUUUAUUUUUGCCUUUUUCUUUAUUGUUUUUAUUCUGAAUCUUAAGAUAUAUUCUAUUUCUUUUUGCUGCCAGCAUAAUAAUUUAAACUGAUACAUUUCUUUUAUAACACUACAUCCUGAAAAUUGAUAUGCACAGUUUUUGAAAUGCUAGAACAUUUGCCAUUCUAUAGCCAUUUUUUUUUUUUUUUAAGAAUUCUUCAAGAAUUCAAAUAAACUGGUUAAACAAUUUUACUUGUAGUUCUCUGAAAACAGUGUGAAAGCUUCAGUGACUUUGUCACUAUUUGACAGAUUUUCACCUGGGACAGCAUGCUGUGGUGAUGAGUGGUUUGCUGCCAGCAUAACCCAAUUUUCAGAUAUUCCUAUGUUUGGAUUUUCAGCUGCAUAUUUGAAAUCAUGGCACUCAAAAAUGAUUUUUUUCCAGAAUAUAUAUAUCCGUAUUCUGGUUUGUACAUGAACCACAUUCAGGUACAUAUAUUGUGAUGUACGUAGAUAUACUGUUAGUUUCUUUUUUCAUAACUGCUUUUACAUUGAUCCGUUAUGGUGAAUUUCAGUUACAAAGCAGUACUGCCUAGUAACAAAAUACUAAUUUAAAAAGUAAAUAGUAGUAUACAACGAUUUUAAAUAUCCUAACCUAUUCGUGUAUAUCCACUUAGCUCAGUAGUUCUCAGCUAGGACAGCACCAUCAUCUGGAGGUCAUUUUAGAAAUUCAUGGGAGCAUUUUUGGUUGUCACCAUAGUUGGAGAGUGUUACAGGUGUUUAGUGGACAGGGGCGAGCUUUGGUAGAUCUCUUACGGCGUGCCAGACAGUGCUGUACACUGAAUAACUUCUGUCUCCUAGGAUGUUUGAAGCUCUUGUAAUUACCUGAGUCUAAAAUAUUUUACGUAUAAACACAAAGCAUUUUUCUCAUGGUUUAAUGAAUGGAACUGCUUUGUAAAUCAAGGGGUGAUUAAUAUCCUUUCAUUUAGAACUAUACCAAGAGCUGUUUACCAUUUUGGAAAAAAUGCAUUAUCUACAGCAGUACCUCUCAUGGUAUUUUAGUCACCAUUUGAUAUACCUGGUUGAGUCUGUGUUUAUAGCUGUCAUAUGCUGAUGGUUCUUCAUCUUGGUACAGGCAUUUCACUAUAUCAUGUUACCUUUUAACAUAUUGGUGCCUGAGCGUUCAUAUUAAACAGUAUUUUAUAAUAAAUUAAUUUCCUUUUAUCCCUAAUACUGUAGUUAGGGCAUUGUGAUGACUUCUUUGUGAAAUUAUGUGAAUUAGGUAAAUUAUUAUCAAUUAAUAUAAUUUCAAAGGUAAUAAAGGGACUGUUGCAAAAGGAAUUUAUUAUAGAUAGGAGGUAUUGGGUCCACUUGGUUUGAGAGCCGCUGACUUGGUUGAAUUCUAGCGGAGAGAACUGAGUCCCACAGUCCCUGUGGCACAUGCACAGCCUUCACAGUUACUGCAGUGUUUCUGUGGGGAAGCGUCAUUAAUCUCACAUUUCCAAAGUAUACAGAAAUAUUAUCUUAUCCGUUUUUCUUGAAAAUUACCACGAUUUAUCUUUCAGCCUCUUGGUGGAUGAUUGGGUAGUACCAGUGGUCCCUGGACUACACUUUGCUGUAAAUCCUGUCUUGUUUUUAUAUAUUGACCUUGUUUUUCUCCAUUACUGUUUUUGCUCCGUGCUUUACUUUGUCAGAUAUUAUAAUUUUUACUCCAACACUCUUCUUUAUUUUGGUUCCGUUUCAGUCUGCCUUUACUUUUAGCCUGUCAUUUACAAUCAGUGUGCUGUUGAAUUUGAGUUUUAAUUCAUUCUGAAAUCAAUUUUAUAAGGAAAUCUGAUCAUUUGUUUUUAUUACUAUAAUUUUUAUUUGAAUUACCUAAUAACCAUACUUGUUCAAAUCUAGGAAGAACUUUUUUCAGCACUUUUAAGUGUUUUUGAUGUGCUUUUGCAAUCCAUGAUUACAAGAAAUUCCUCAAGUGCUGGGGGAUUACUUUGUAUUGCCGAUGGCAUUGCCUACGUAUGUAUAAACUUAGCCAUAUGUAGUAGCGUCUUUUCACUUGUGUCACCUCAGUAAAGUUACUUGAAUUGACGACAUCACACAUGGCUGAAUUUUAACUUAAAUUUAGGUAGUUAAUUUGUCUUACAUUUCUUCAAAAAGAGAAUGCUGCAGAAAUUAUUGUGUAUCUAGGAGAUAGCAUGUACCAAGACAGAUAAUACAAUUAAAAGCAAGAGAAAUUGCUAAAUCUGUAGAAGAUAUUAUAGAUUUUGAGAGAUAAGGGAGUUGGGUGUGACUUAUUCAUGACAUGAAUCACUCAAACACUAACACUUAAAAAAUUCCUUCUGGUUUUUAAGAGGAACUGCCUUAGGCUGGACUCUCUAGAGGAGCAAAACCAGUGAAACAUAUGCAUAUAAAUAUAUAUACCAAAAACCAAAGCAAACCCAUUGCUGUCAAGUUGAUUCUGACUCAUAGUGACCCUACUGAACAGAAUAGAAUUGCUCAAUAGGGUUUACGAGGAGGGGCUGGUAGAUUUAAACUGCCAACCUUUUGGUUAGCAGCCAAGCUGUUAACCACUGUGCCAGCAGGGCUCCAUAAAUGUGUAUAGAGAGUUAAUUCAAGUAAAUGACUCUUGAAGUUGUGGAGGAUGGCAGGCCCCAAAUCCGUGAUUCAGGUGUCAGGCUGGAGGUUUUGUUGCAGGGGCUAAUGAAUGCAGAAUCAGAGGGCUGGUGGCAGGCUGUUGACUCAUGUCCCAAGAACUGGAGGUCAGAUGAUGAUGAGUCAGAUGCGGGAUCCAGAGUGAGAGAAAGCCUUGCUGGAAUAUACAUUUAUACACUGGAGUCAGUUUCUCCCAAGGAAACUGCACCUUCACUUGAUUGGCUGCUCAUAGCACAUCUUACCAUGGAGGUGAUUACAUUUUAUCAGAUCUCAUCAUGAGGCGAUUACAUUAUAUUGUAUUAUGGGAGAGCAGUCAGUCCAGUGUCUGCCAAACCACUGAGAAUCAUAGCCUAGCCUAAUGGACACGUAACAUUAACCAUCACAGGACCUGUAUAGCUUCUGAUGAUACCUAGUUUAGGAAAAACAAAACUGAGUUUAACUAAAUACAAAAUGCAGAAGAAUUCAGGUUGUUUUCUCUUUGCCUCAGAAUUAUGCUGUCAGUCUCAAAGAUGUUAAAGUCUCAAUAUUAUGGGUUUCAAGAAGUGACAUGCUACUCUGAUAUUAUGCGUAACCGCGGAUGGUACAAAGUUCAGAAGAAUCGUUAGACUCUGAAUGUGAAGAAAGUUUUGAUUCAAACUUUGAUUGUCAUUCUGAAGAGGAAUGUGGUAUAUAAUUGUUUUGAGAAAUGUAUGCUAUUAUUUUACGAUAGGUGGCAUCCUAAGAUGAAAGAAAUGAGUUCUUUCUCCCUUUUAAAUUCUCUCCUCUUUUGAAACAUGCCAUUUUCAAGGCAGAUUAUACCCUUUCCUUACCAUUUCAUCGUGUUUAGACAAUGACUGUACAUGUCAACCUUUUAAUAGUUACCCUUGUAGUGAACUUCACGCAACUCACGGAAUAAAAUAAAUGCAUUGAUUGCGUGAUGAUAGAUAGACAUGAUCUAAACCCCUUGCUGCAGAGUUGAUUCCGACUCAUAACAACCCUAUAGGACAGAGUAAAACUGCCUCAUAGGGUUUUGAAGGCUGUAAUCUUUACAGAAGCAGACUGCCACGUCUUCCUCCUGUAGAGCAGCUGGUGGGUUUGAGCUGACAGCCUUUUAGUUAGCAGCCAAGUGCUUUAACCACUGCACCAACAGAACUCCUUCUAGACGUGAUCUAAAUUCCAUAAAUAUGGUAUUCAUUCUAGAGUUAUGUUUUCCAACCUUGUGAGAAGAUAAGAAUUCCCCAAUGUGUUGCUGGGGGAUUGGUGGUUCAGUGAUAGAAUUCUCGCCUUCCACGACGGAGACCUGAGUUUGAUUCCCAGCUGAUGCACCACACGUACAGCCACCAUCCGUCAGCGUGUUGCUGUGAUGCUGAACAGAUGUUAGUGGAGCUUCCAGACCAAGAUGGGCUAGGAAAAAAGGCCUGGUGUUCUACUUCCGAAACUCAGGCAUCAAAAACCCUGUGGAUCGCAGUGGUCUGAUCUACAACCAAUCAUGGGGAUGAUGCAGGACCAGAAAAUGUUUCAUUUCAUUGUAUAUGGGAUUGCCAUGAGUCAGAGGCCUACUCGAUGGCACCUGACAACAACAACAACAACAACAAUGUAUUGUAUAAGGUCUUACAGCUAGUAAGUGAUGGAGCCAGGAUUUGAACCCAGGCAAACUGAAUUUAGAGCCUGUGCUCUUAGCGACAUUAUGCUGACUAUUACAGGUCAAAUGCUGAGCUAAGCUAGUUACACAGUACAUUGUAGAGUAGUGUACAAUUUACUUUGAGUAUGAAGAGACAUGGUAAAACAUGAAAUAGCUUCAAAAAAGAUAGAAUGCUUAAUAGAAUAAUGCCUCAUGAAUGUGUGAAAAAGUAAAGCCAGGACAAUAAACAGUUCUGUUCAAACAGUAAGCAAUCCUGAAGGACCACAGAGUGAUCAGUUGAUGCGUCUCUAAAUCAGCAGUUCUCAAAAUGGGGCCUCUGUACCCUUGGAAGUCCUCAAGACCAUUUCAGGAGAUCCUCGAGGUCAAACCUAUUUUCCUAACAGUAUUAAGAAGCUAUGCCUUUUUCUCUGUGUUGAUACACUGCUAGUACAAAUGCAUUGGUGGAUGUCUUAGUCAUCUAGUGCUGCUAUAACAGAAAUACCACAAGUGGAUGGCUUUAACAAACAAAUCUAUUCUCUCACAGUUUAGGAGGUUAGAAGUCCAAAUUCAAGGCACCAGCUCCAUGGGAAGACUUUCUCUGUUGGUUUUGGGGGAAGGUCCUUGUCAUCAGUCCUCCCGUGGGUCUAGGAGUUUCUCAUUGCAGGGACGCUGAGUCCAAAGGACACACUCUGCUCCUGGCUCUACUUUCUUGGUCGUAGAAGGUCCCUCUCUCUAUUUUUACAUCUUUCUCUUAUCUCCUGUAAGAUAAAAGGCCACACACCCCAGGGAAGCUCCCCUGAUAUUGGAUCAGGGCUGCAACCUGAGUUAGGGUGUUGAAUCCCACCCUAAUCCUCUUUAGUAUAACCUAAUCUCGCCUCAUUAACCACAGGCGGAGAUUAGGAUUUACAACACAGGGUAAUUAGAUCACAAAAUGGAGGAAAACCACACAGUACUGGGAAUCAUGGCCUCACCAAGUUGAUGCGUCUUUUUGGGGAACACAGUUUAGUCCAUGACCGUGGGUUAAACUCCUGGCACCUAAGCGUGACUCAAGACAGUGUCACCGGAAGUAGCCAUUGUAUUCUUCACCGUCACAUUCCACAGUUUUCAGAAAAGUGCCAGUUUCAAUUAAGAAUGUCCUUGAUGUAGUAUCGAAAGUAUUCCUUUUCUUAAAUCUCUAUCCUAGAGCACACAUCUUUUUGCUAUUUUAUGAUGUAAUGGAAAGUACGAAAGUAUGCAUAAGGCAUUUCUGCUGCAUACUGAAGUACCAUGAUUAUUUAGGGAAAGCACUUGCAGGAUGGAGUUGCAUGCUCAACUAGCCACUUUUUUCAUGAAACACCAUUUUCUUUGAAAGAAUGACUGACAGACAGACUGGUUAUUCAUAUUUGAAUAUAUGGCAGACAUUUUGUCAAAAAUGGAAGACCUAACAGUAUUUGUUGCCGGUGAUAAAAUUUGAGCCUGACAACUUCCCAACAUUUCAAGACUCCUCUUAUGAGAUUGGUGGUAAUACUAACCAAUGUGAAUUUUUUAUAUUGAAUAAUGAAAUGUAUCAACAUUUGGAAGAGCUGCCUAAGUAAGGAAACCAAUAUCGGAUAAAUCACCAAUGCGUAAUGGUACAAAAACACGCAUGACUAAAGAUCUAUUCAAAGUGCAAGUAGGCCAGUGAAUCUUAAUGUUGUCGUUGUUGUUAGGUACCGUCAAGUCACUUCUGACUCAUAGCGACUCUGCGUACAACAGAACGAAACACUGCUCGCUUCUGUGCCAUCCUCACAAUUGUGGCCAUCUGGAACGCAUUGUUGCAGCCACUGUGUCAGUCCAUCUCCUUGAGGGUCUUCCUCUUUUUCGCGGACCCUCACUUUGCCAAGAUUGGUGUCAUGCAUUGAAUUAUGUCCCCCUAAAAAUGUGUGCAUUGACUUGGUUAGGCCAUGAUUCCCAGUAUUCUGUGGUUGUCCUCCAUUUCGUGAUUGUAAUUUUGCAUUAAAGAGGAUUAGGGUAGGAUUGUAACACCCUUACCAGGUUACAUCCCUGAUCCAAUGUAAAGGAAGUCUCCCUAGGGUGUGGUCUGCACCACCUUUUAGCUCUCGAGAGAGUAAAGGAAAGGGAAGCAAGCAGGGGGAGGGGGGACCUCAUACCACCAAGAAAGCACUGCCGGGAGCAGAGCGCGUCCUUUGGACCUGAAGGUCCUGCGCUGAGAUGCUCCCAGACCAAAGGAAGACUGAUGGUGAGGACCUUCCUCCAGAGCCAACAGAGAGAAAGCCUUCUCCUGGAGCUGGCACUCUGAAUUUGGACUUGUAGCCUACUAGGUUGUGAGAGAAUAAAUUUCUCUCUGUUAAAGCCAUCCACUUGUGGUAUUUCUGUUAUAGCAGCACAAGAUGCCUAAGACACCAUCCUUUGGCUUUGCCAGUUCCCAGUGCUCUCGCUUACCCAUAACACUUCUACAGCUCUUCUGCUCUCCUUCUGAUAUUUCAAAACUCUUAGGUAUCAGGGAUCCAGAGCAUAUCCUGAAGAUUGCUUUCUUCUCUUCCUUUCCUUCUCGGUCACAUGUCUGUUACCCUUAUUGCUUCUGUAGUAUAGUUAUUGGCCCUCAAUUUAAAAUUGAGGGAUUGUUCUUCAGAGAUGUUCUGAGUAUCUUUUAAGUGUCAUAGUUUGAUUUCAGAUUGUUGGAAGUCUGACUGUUAAUGGGAUUUUGUUUCUUAUAUGUGCGAGGCAUCAGGGCUUGAUGGGAAAGCCUGGAUAACAGGGGUUAGGAAAUCUGGAAUCUGGUCCUAAAUCUGCUUUUCACCAGCUAGGAACCUUUCUUUCCCUGUGGUUUCCUCAUCUGUGGAAAGGGAAGAGUAAUUACCCACCCACCCUUACUACUGACUCACGUCUUACUCAUUCAACAAAUAGGUUUUUUUUUUUUUAAUGUGUUUGGCAGAAAAAAUGGAAAGAUGAAUCAGGCAUGAAUCUUGCCCUCAACAUAGGGUCUAGUCUAGUAGGAAAGUUAAUGUCAUUUUUUCCUUGCAUUUUGAUUAUUUAUGGACAGAUCUUUUUUUUAAAUUGUGGUGAAAUCCACAUAGCGUGAAAUUAGCCAUUUUACAGCGAAUGGUUUAUUGGCAUUCAGUACAUGCAGGGUGUUGUGCACGCACCACCUCCUUCUAGUUGCGAAACAUCCCCGUCACCAAAAUAAAACCCUGUGCCCGUUAAGCAGUUACCCUCCGUUUCUCUCUCCCCCAAGCCCUGGCAACCACUAAGCUGCUUUCUCCGUCUAUGGAUUUACCUGUUCUGGGUAUUUCAUAUCAGUGGAAUCCUACAGUAUGUGACCUUUUGUAUCUGGCUUCUUUCCUGUAGCUUAUUUUUUCCGAGGCUCAUCCACAGUGUGGCAGAAAUCAGUACUUCACUCCUUUUUAUGGCUGAGUAAUAUUCCAUUGUAUGUAUAUAGGCAGUCCCUGGGUUACAGACAUCAGAAGUCACGAACCAAGUCUCUUAAAGCCUAUUAUAUUAAAAAUUAAAGGUACACAGACUGGUCAUAAUAACAAACCGGCACUAUUUUGCGACAUACAUCAAAGCAUUAUUAUUAUUGUAUUGUUGUGUUAAAGAUGUGUUAGUGUAUCUGGAAGUGUUUCUUUCAUUUUUUUUUUUUAUGCAUAGGAAGGUACAGUAUAUACAACAUACUAAGACACAUUUGAUUAAUGUUAGAUACGAACCGUACCUGUUGGGAUUUACAUACAGAUUCGACUUAAAGAGAGAUUUAGGAAUGGAAUUCAUUCGUAAUCCAGGCACUGCCUGUAUACCACAAUGUAUUUAUCCAUUUGUUAGUUCAUGGAUAUACCUUAUUUCAAUUAUUAGAAUAUAACCUUUUUGAAAAUUUGGGCAUCCAUUUUAAGGUCAUUUUUAUUUCAUUUUUUCUGAUAGGGAGGUAAAUGAGGAAAAAAUAAUUUAGAAAAGUUUUCUCUUUGUAGCUACACUUUAAUAAUGAUAUCUUUAAAUGAGUCCUUGGAUGGUAGUGUACAGGUGGUUAGUUUACUAUAAAUCAUAUUUAUUUUUCUUAGCCUGGCCUUAAUCUAUGCUAACAAAAUUAUUUUUAGUUAAGUAUAUAUGGCCUGCUAUUAGGAUAUGUUUGUUCUACGAGUACUUCUUUGGAAUUGCCAUUAAUAUCUGAUCUUUAAAUAUCUAGAUUUAUUUCACUACCAUUCCAAGGAAAACAGUUUAUCCCCUUUUCACUUUAUUUCUCAUGUAAGUAAGUAUAUGUUCAACUGCAAAUCACAAAAAACUCUGACAGGGCUGACUUAAACAGCAAGAAUUUGUUUAAUUCAUGUGAAACGAGGAUUUUAAUCUAUUUUUCUCACUGUUGUAUUCCUAGUAGAUGCCCAGGAAAUAUCUGAAUCAAUGAAAAUAUCUAAAAUGUAUAUACAUGUGAAUAAAUAAAUCAAAAAUUGUAUGUUUUUUUUUAUUAUUUAAGCAGUGGUUGGGCAGCUCGGUUUCUUUCAAGGGCUCAGAUUCUUCCCGUUUGCCCUGCUUUCUUCAGCAUAUCCACCUCAUCUGCCUGCAGGCCUGCUGCCCUCCUAUUCACAAGAUGACUGCUACAUUUCCUUGACAUCACAUCCUCUAGACCACAUCCAGAGGCAGAAAAAAGGGCCUUGUCUUCCUUGUGUGCCUUUUCUUUUCUGUUUAGAUGAAGGAAAACUUUCUCCCUCUAUCUCGUUGGCCAGAAUUGCAUCAUAAACUUAGACAUAACCAAAUCGCGACCAGGGGGCCUGGGAUCUCCAGGAUUGGCUCAGAGCUGUGCCAUCCUUUAAGGUAGCCACUAGCCAUAUGGAGCUAUUUCAGCUUAUUAAAAGGAAAAAUAAGGUUACAGAUUCCGUUCCUCAGUUGCACUCACCACAUCUCAAGUGCUCUAUAGCCACCCGAGUUUAGUGGCUCCCUUACAGGGCAGCACAGAUACAGAACAUUCCCAUCAUUAUAGAAGGUUCUUUUGAACAGUGCUGACUUUGACUGAUCCUGAUUUACCUUCUAGGCUUGCCUUUCCUGAAGUACAUGGUCCUGGGGAGAAGAGCAGAUACUUGAGCAAAAUUGAGGUUCCCUUCUGAAGGGGAAAUUUGAGGGAAUGGCAGUGAAGAGACUGCCAGCAGUGUCUGCUUUAUCUGUUUUGCUAAUUUUCAGAAUUAUACUCAAUCUUAAAACUGGGAUACUCUCAGCAAUAUCCCACCUUCCAGGGACAACUACAUGGUGAACAAGCACAGUAUCUGACAGUGAGACCACCCUGGCGUGGCUCUUCGGCUUCAAGUAUAUCACUGUUCACCGUUCCUAUGCACGAAUGAUGCAUUUCCUUGGUGUGUGAAAGGCAUUAAGUCUGUUUUACUGCCUGAGAAUGGACUGAACACAAUAUUGUUUACUUAAUGGAGUCGCUUGGGUGGCACAUAUGGUUAAGCACUAGCUAGUAACUGAAAGGUUGGCAGUUUGAACCCACCCAGAGUCAUCUUGGAAAAAGACCUGGCGGUCUACUUCAUAAAGGUCACAGCCAUGAAAACCCUAUGGAGCGCCAUUCUACUCUGACACACAUGGGGUCUCCGUGAGUCAGAAUCGAUGCAACAGCAGCUGGUUUAUUGUUUCCUUGAGAACAAUAAUUGUAUUUGAAAAUUAAUCUUUGAAGUCUUGAUGCUAGAUAGCAGGGCCCUAUGAUUUACUUGACAAAAAUUGGUCUAUAUACAUUUGUCAGGUUCUAAUUGGGGAGUUGAAAAAUAACCAGUGAAGUAUAUUAUUUCUGUUCAUUUAUUGUGCUAUCUGGAAGCUCGUAAACUGAAGGAUCCACUUCAUAAGUUGUUGGUACUGUGAAUGUGGAUGUGAGCUGAACUGUUCUAGUACUUGUCAUCACCAGAAUAUUAUUUUUUACUCUUCUGAUGCUUAUCAUGGUAGCAGAAAAAGGAUAUAAUCAGUGAUAGUCCGCUUUACUUCCCCAGUCGUUCUUGAAUUUUCUGGGGUCUUGUGGUCAUUUUGUACAACGAAGGAACAGUGGCUAGAAGGAUACUCAUUUCCCUCUCGUCUUUCCUGCUUACUAGAGGUAGGCUCAGGCAGGUCCUGUGUGCUGGUCUCUGUCUCCUUCUCCUCUUGUGGAAAGUCAUCACCAGACAGGUACGGGCAUGUGCUGAAAAGCCUGACUUGCUUUUAGGUCCAAAUAAAUAAAUAUCUGAUUAUUGAACUCUUUCUCUCAGUUGAGCAGAUCUUGAUUAUACAGAAAACAAAAUGCUCUGCUUUGGAAACAUUUGAUGGUGGCUAUUUUUGAAAAGGAAAAGAAAUAACAGGAAGUUUCGCUUUUCAUUGUUGAUAACCUUUCAAAACUCUGUAAUGACGCAUAGACGUUGGUGCAUCCAGGCUGGCUGAGUUUUAGGUUGACCCUGUUAAUAGCCAUUUCUGUUUGAGUCUUGUAAAAAAUCUUUUUAAGUAUGUAUUAGUACACUUUCUUGCCUUAAUAAAGUAUGCCAAAUGCCAUUUAACAAUUAUUUGACCAAUAAGGCUUUCGUAGUACCUUGGGCUCGUGCCCAUCAGUUACUGUUUUACUGAUUUAUAGAUGUAGAUAGAUGCUGAAAGAGGUAACUGACCAGAGCACAUAGCCCCUGAUGUAAAAAAUAAAAACCAACCAAAUUAAAGCUGUUACCUGGUUGCUUACUUCUUUGCUCCAUAUUAUGUCAGCAGAACUAGAUUUACCUGUAUCUAACUGCUAGAGUAUAAUUUGACAAGCAUCACCAAAAUAUUUCUUCAGCAUUCGAAAAUGAUUUAGGGGGAGAGGUAGGCCAUGUUUACAAAUUUUAACACUCUCCUCCAAAUAUUGAGAAUUAUUCUGGCACUUCAUGGUGAACCCUUUGCUUUUUUGAGCCUUAAUUGCCUCUGCCCGCCUCACAGGAGGCUGUUACAUGUAUCAUCACAUUUAAUCCUCUCAGAGCGGUCGAUAAAGGGUAAAUUAAUCACUGGCACAAACCAUGAGUAGCCAAGUUUUGAAUAGCACAAUUUAUUCUGUUUGAAUUCGGUUUGAAAUAGCAAAUUGCAAAAAAAUUUUUUUUGCUAUUUUGGACACAAAUUUAUCUCCUUACCAGCUUUUAAAAUACACUCAGUAGCUCUUCUGAAUUGCCAAGAAAAUGUGAAUUUUAUCUAGAGCAGUUGUUCUCAGAGUGUGGUCACUAGACAAAUAGUAUCUGCACCACCUGGAAUUUUUUUUAGAAAUGUAGAUUCUUGGUUCUGUCUCUGACCUAGUGAACCAGAAACUCUCGGGUAAAACCAAAAACCAGGCCUGUUGCUGUUGAGUUGGUUUCGACACGUAGUGACCCUAUAGGAAGGACAGAGUAGAAUUGCUCCAUAGGGUUUCCAAGGAGCGCCUGGUGGAUUUGAACUGCCGACCUUUUGGUUAGUAGCUGAACUCUUAACCACUGUGCCACCAGGGUUUCCAGAAGCUCUAGAGUGGGGUCCAGCAACUGUGUUUUAACAGAUCCUGCAGGCGAUUCCGAUGCACUGCUCUUGAAGAUCCUUGACUUUCAUUGCGUAACUGGACAAUUUCUGAAACUCUCCCUCCCACAGGCUUUGAUGGCAUCAUGUCCUUCCUUCCUAACAUUAGGCCUAAAAUGAUAUCAACAGUUGUGAUCAAAGAUUCGGUAGAAGAAUCAUGAUGGGAGGGGGGUAGAAUGUGGAACAGAAUUUUAAAUUUUUAUGGAAUCCAGACGUUCUGGAGCCAUUGAGGCAGUGAGCCCCUAAAACUAUUGGCCUGAGACAGUCUUUCAACCUUAAACCAAAAAUAUCCCCUGAAGUCUUCUUUAAACCAAACAGUAGCUUAAUGUAAUUAGUAAAGAAUGUCCGCCUUGAUCAUUGUGCUGUUUUGAAGAACUAUACGUAUGGGCUCAAAUUGCCAACAGUAACUCGAAAGUUUAAAUAGGAAGUUUAGAGGCCAAUAAGGUUAUGUUAAUGAGGGAGGGACAGUUCUGAAAAAGAGGAUGAGAAUGGCUGCAUAGCUUGAAGAAUGUAGUCAUUGUCACUAAGUUAUACAUGGAGAAAUUGUUGAAUUGAUGUAUUUCUGCUGUGUAUAUUUUCAACAACGAUUUUUUAAAAAGGUAUCAAAAAUCAAGAAAUAUGACAAAUGUGUAAACACUGUAUUAGUUUUUCACUUUGCUACUAUUGUGUACAUUUUUAAGGUCACUGAAAAAUUGUUUUUGGCAUUUGGUCGAGUAUUUCUCAUUGUGACGUUUUAAUAAGUACAGUUCCUUUGGGUAGAUAAAAGUGUCAGUGUAUUUUAUUCAUUUUGCACAGGAAUUCUCUGCUUUUAGAUGUAACAUAGUCCUGGAGACUGAGCAGAAUCCUACUGUCUACAGACACUUUCCUGUAUUCUGCUUGCGUUCUGCCGGAGAAAAGAGCAGAGUGAGCAGAUGAGAUGAUGAUGAAGAAUCUAUCUGUAAUAGAAAAUGUCAUAUUGGCAUGCCAAUAUGUGUGAUAACAAACUGGGAGUUCCCUGUAUUGUUUGUCUUAGGUCAUUAUUUGGAGAUACAGCUAUGUACUUUGCAUACUGAAGAGCACAUUUUUGUCAAGAUUGGUGUGUACAGUCAAUAAUGAAAAGGGUGUAGGCCUACAGUUACAGUUUGCUCGGGCACCAUACGGUGCCCCAGCAAACUCACCUGGGCACCACAGGCUGUUUUUAAUUUUCCACGGAAACAGUGACAUCUGUCAAAUAUCACACAAGCUACUAGCUCAAGGUAGUCCACAAUGCAGUGUUAAAUUCCUACAUACCUUGAUGAUGUCAUAUCUUUAUGAAGCUGGGAUUUUGGCCAUUUUUGUGGGUGGGGGGGAACAAUUACCGUAUGAAAAUCAGCGUGUAACAGGAAAUGAAGGCGACGGUGUCCGGCCUGAUUCCCAGAUUUGAGAAGUUGUGGAGUACUCAAAAGGUGCUAAGUUUUAAGGACAAAAAUAUCGCUUAAGUUUGGACUUAACAGAGCUAUUAGGCAUUUCUUUUGUCCUAGGCUGAGUUCUAAGGAAGCCAUACCUGAGAAAGUUUAAGGCAACUUUUUUUGUAGAUUGCAGUUUGGACUUUAGGUAUGGUAAAAAGCUGUACAGGAAACUGAGAGGAGAAAAAGACAAAGGAAUUGUACGCAGCGUGGUGGAGGAGAAGGCAGUAUGUAGUGAUGCUGCGUGAUCUCUAGGGCCAUAGGCUCUGAUUUUGAGUCCUAGGUCUUUGGCUAGCUGUAUGGCUGUGGCCAAGAAAUUAACUUUAUUGAACUGCAGUUUUUCCUCAUCCAUAAAAUAAGACUUGAUACCACCACAAAAGAAUUGAAUGAGAUACUGUAGAUAAACACUGUGCCUUUUAAAGUUUAAAAACUAUAUACAGAUGUGUGGUAGGCUGAGUAAUUCCCCCCUCACCCCUCAAAUGUCCACAUCCUAAUCCCUGGAACCUGUGAAUGUGGUAAAAAGGAUUUCGCAGAUAUGAUUAAAUUAAGGAUCUUGAGCUGGAGAGAUUAUCCUGGGUUAUCUGGGUGGGCCCAAUGUAGUCACAAGCAUCCUUAGAAGAAGAAGGCAGGAGGAUCAGAGUGAGUAGUAGGAGAUGUGACCAUGGAAGCAAGUGAUGUGAGGAAGGGUCUGUGAGCCAAGGUAGCGGGCCGGCCUCUAGAAGCUGCAAAAGGCAAGGAAAUGGAUUCUCCUCAGAGCCUCCAGAAGGAACCAGCCCUGGAUGUUAGCUCCAUAAGAUUCAUUUUAGACUUCUGACUCUGGAACUGUAAGAGAAUGAAUACGUGUUACUUGAAGCCCAGAGUUUGUGGUAAUUCGUUACAGCAACAAUAGAAAACUUAAUGCAGGGUUGGAAAAGGGAAAGUUCUCUAAGAAAUCACUAGCUUGUUGUCAAAAGACCCAAUAUUCUUUUUCAUAGUGUGAGACUUUUAAGAGUUGCCUACAAUGUGGCAUAAUCUUCUAUGGUGUGGACAUGUUGAGAUUUCCUUUGCUCUUAACCUUCUGAUGACUCUAGAGACUUUGAGAAAGUAAUUAGAUUUGAAAGGGGCAGUGGGGAAGGAUUAUAAGCCUCUGGAGAGGUCUAAGUAAGAGUGUCUCAGAAGGGCUUAAUUUUACAGAAGGGGUUCCUGGAACUGAGUUCCCCCAGCAGCCCUAGGAGCUAUCCUUCUCCAGUCAUUCAUCAGAUUUCUAAACCUAGCUUGGUCCAGCAGGUUGCUUUAGAAGAUUCUCGAAAGCUAGUUUGUUUUAAGUUUGCACACCAGAGGGGCUUUCCAUGGCCAGGUGAUUCAGCCGAGGGAAGCAUCUGACCAGUGUCUGCCUGUAUAGAUCUGUUACACUCUGUUAGGAGUGGUUGUUUUUACUGAGUUCUUGUCAAAAUCCUUUUAAUCCUACAUUUUCAAAUGAAAAAUGUUUUACUGUGGAAUUAUGGAUUCAUAAACCAACAGCAAUCGUAAGUGGUAAGACUUGACAUGAAAACUUUGUGGGGGAGGGUAUACAUGAGAAGAUGUUAGUACUUAUAACUCAAAGGUGUUUUCUGGAAUCUCAGUUAAGUAGAAGUUUCCUAGUGCCAGAAGGUAAAGAUUCAGUGUGUUAUUCACUAGUGAAGCUAGUUCAUAGCUAACUAGAAUACCCACUACAAGUUAGGUAUUUUCUUGGACGUAUUCUUAUGCCACUUGCAAAAAUCACUUCAUACAGAAUAUAUGGAUCUCAAUUUUCUAGAGUGAUUUGAAUUUUCUAAGUAAAAUUCGCUAUUUUUACCUGUAUGUAUUCUGUAUAUUGGUAAUUUAACUGCCUCAAAUCUUUUAAGCAGUUGCUCGUAUAAACCGGUUGCUGUUGAGUCCGUUCUGACUCAUGGCGACCCCCGUGUGUAUCAGAAUAGAACUGUGCUCCUUAGGGUUUUCAGUGGCUGAUUGUUUUGGAAGUAGGUUGCGAAGCCUGUCUUCCGAGAUGCCUUUGGAUAGACUUCAACCGCCAAACUUUUGGUUAGCAGCUGAACAUGAUAACUGUUUGCACCACUCAGGUACUCCACUAGUAUAAACAGGUCACCCUAUUUUACCUGUCUCUGUGGUGGUGCAGUGGUUAAGUGCUCGGCUCCUAACUGAAAGGUCGGCAGUUCAAACACACUAGCCAUUCCUCCGGAGAAAGAUGUGGCAUUCUGCUCCUGUAAAGAUGACAGCCUUGGAAACCCUAUGGGGGAGUUCUGCUCUGUCCUGUGGGGUCGCUAUGAGUUGGAAUCAACUCAACAGCGAUGGGUUUGGUUUUGGUCUAUGGUGGCUUCUUAGUCCAUUAGUAGCUAUUUAACAAGAGUUCAGGAAACUGUCCUACCAGUUGAUACCAUUUAAAUGAAAUUAUUUUUUACCCUCAGAAGGCUGAUCUUUCGAUAUAUACAGUAAAGCUUUUUGGAGUUGAUGAUCCCAUUCCUGGUAGCUUUGUUAGAGUUAAAUCAGUGGUAUGUGUGAGUAAGCUUAGCUAGUUUUACUUUUAUUAAUGUAAAAACAUUUACACAGUAAUCAUGUUUAUAUUAGGUUCUGGGCCUUGAAUGAUGGUAAAAAAUAAAUUGAAUAUCAGAGAGAGGAUCUCUAGCUUGCUCAUUGUUUGGUAUCAGUGUCUACAUGUAGAGGAUAAAGAGUAGUCAUAGGAGUAUUUUUCCUAUUUGCUUAUCUUCCUAUUUCUUUAUAUUUUAGAUAUAAUGAGAUGCAUUAAAUGAGCGGCAGCUUAAAGCACCUCCGAGAAACCUUGCCUUUCCCUUUGCCACUUUUUGGGUUGAAGUAUGACUUUUGGAAAUGGAACAAUCAGAAAGUAGUUAACUUUAAUUCUAAAUAUGUAGAUUAAUUAGACAAAUCUGUGUAAAAUAUGCAGAUGGUUAAAGUAGUACAACAACUCUAAAAUAUACUUGUUAAGUUAGCUCGCUCCUGGGCAGGGGCGGGACAAACAAAUAAAUUAGUUAAAAUAAACUCUUACCACUUUGUUAAUGGUACCAUUAUUCUCAGUCAUUCAGACUGGACAAGAAACAGUGGUGCUGGUGUUGCCACCGCCCCGCCCCAUCUUAGUUAUCUAGUGCUGCUAGAACAGAAAUACCAAAAGUGGAUGGCUUUAACAAACAAAUAUAUUUUCCCACAGUUAAGGAGGUUAGAAGUCCAAAUUCAGGGUGCUGGCUCUAGGGGAAGGCUUUCUUUCUCUGUUGACUCUGGAGAAAGGUCCUUGUCUCUUCUGAGCCUCUGCUCCCGCGCAGUCUUCAUAUGGCUUGGCGUCUCUCUCCCCCCACCUCUGCUUCCCAGCUUGCUUGUUUAAUCUCUUUUAUAUCUCAAAAGAGAUUGACUGAAGAUAUACCCUACACUAAUCUUGCCUCAUGAAUAUAACAAAGACAACACAUUCCCAAAUGGAAUUAUAACCACAGGCAUAGAGAUUGGAGUUUAUAACACACACACACACACACACACACACACACACACAUAUAUUAAUUUUUAUUGUGCUUUAAGUGAAAGUUUACAAAUCAAGUCAGUCUCUCACAUAAAAAUUUAUGUAUGCCUUGCUGUAUGCUCCUAGUUGCUCUCCACCUAAUGAGCCAGCACCCCCCUUCUUUCCACUCUCUUAUUUUUGUGUCCAUUUGGUCAGUUUCUGACCCCCCCGCCCUCUCAUCUCCCAUCCAGACAGGAGCUGCGCACAUAGUCUCAUGUGUCUACUUGAUCCAAGAAGCUCAUUCCCCACCAGUAUUAUUUUCUAUCCCAUAGUCCAGUCCAAUCCCUGUCUGAAGAGUUGGCUUUGGGAAUGGUUCCUGUCUUGGGCUAACAGAAGGUCUGGGGACCAUGAUUUCUGGGGUCCUUUUUUUUUCUAGUCUCAGUCAGACCAUUAAGUCUGGUAUUUUUAGAAGAAUUUGAGGUCUGCAUCCCACUGCUGUCCUGCUCCCUCAGAGGUUCUCUGUUGUGUUCCCUGUCAGAGCACUCAUGGGUUGUAGCUGGGCACCAUCUAGUUCUUCUGGUCUCAGGCUGAUGUAGUCUCUGGUUUAUGUGGCCCUUUCUGUCUCUUGGGCUCAUAAUUACCUUGUAUCUUUGGUGUUCUUCGUUCUGCUUUGCUCCAGGUGGGCUGAGACCAAUUAAUGCAUCUUAGAUGGCCAUGUGCUAGCAUUUAAGACCCCAGGUGCCACUCUCCAAAGUACAACACAUAUUUUUGGGGGACACAGUUCAAUCCAUAACAUUCCACCCAUUGGCCCCCCAUUUGCCACAUGCAAAACACAUUUACCCCGUCAUGUCAUCCCAAAAAUCUUAAAUCCGUUCCAAGUGCAAAACCUCAUCUUCUGAAUCAACUAAAUCAAAUAUGGGUGAGACUUCAGGCAUAUUCCUUCCUGGGGGAAAAUUCUUCUUCAUCUGUGAACCUGUAAAAUGUAGAAUACAAGUUAUCUGUUCCCAAAGUACAGUGGUGGAACAGGGACAAAGUAGGUAUUUCCAUACAAAUGGAAGAAUUUAGAGAGAAAGAAGGGAUAACAGGCACCAAGCAAGUCCAAAACCCAACAGAACAAUUUACGUUAGUUCUCAAGGCUUGAAAACAAUCCUAACUGUUCUCUGAGACUUCUCUGGAUAACGGCCCCACCCUCCAAACUCUGGGUGUUGGCCCCACCCUCUCGAUUCUAGGUAGAGGCCCCUGGGCCCUGGGCUUCCCCUCAGCCUUCCAGGCCCACUGGGAUAGCAGCUCUGCUCCCUCAGCUUUGGGUGACCCCAUUCUCCUAGUCUAUCUGAGUGUUGGCCCCACCCCCUCAGCCCCAGCAGGCCCUAUUCUUCUGCCCUUGGGCAUGGCAGCCGCUCCCCCUCAGCUUUGGGCACCAGCCCGAUCCCCCUGGCACACCUUAACAGCAGCCCUACUCUCCAGAAAUGAGUUGGCGAAGACCAACACUUUGAAACCUAGGAGGCUAUGGCCCUGCUCUUUGAGAGGCAAGAGACCAUGGUACCACCCUUUGAAACCAUGAAGGCCCUGCUUCCUGUGCUCCUUCCAACAGUUCUGCUAAUCUCCGAGCUGCUCCAGGGAUGGUCCUUUUCUUUUCUUGGAGGACAACAGAAGUAGCCCUUUUGGUCUCUUUCUUGCCUAUAGAAUUCGAGAUGCAGACAGUGUUUUUUCCUUUUGUUCAUUGUCUUUUGCCCUCAGUCUAAGCAGAUGGUUUUUUUUGCUGUGGUAGUUGGUUAGAUCCAUCAGUCACAGGCCUAAUUUCUUUAACAAAAGUUUGUGUAGUCACAUCCUUGGUGAACGUUCUAGGACACAUGUCCUUAAUUUGUACAACAGUAUAUAGAUCUUUAAGUUCUGUUUUCAUUUUGCAUAGUUCAUUUUUAAAUUUAUUUUUUCCUCUAGCAUUUUGCUACAAGGAGCAAGGAGAAACCACACGGCCCCUUCAAGAUCAUGCUUAGAAAUCUCAUCAGCCAGAUAUCCAAGUUCAUCACUUGCAAGUUCCACCUUCCACCAAACAUUUGAACAUAAUUCAGACAAGUUCUUCAGCACUGCGUAAAAAGCGUCGCACUUCCUCCAUUGUCCAAUCCCAUGCUCAUUGUUUUCUUUUAAAGCCUCACCAGGAGCACAUUGGUAGCAACAUUCUGUCGCUGGCGCCAUAUGUGUUCUCUAAGAUGAUCCUUUCUCUGCAGCUCUCCUCACGUCCUUCUGAGCUCUCACCAGAAUUGCCUUUGAUGUCCAUAAUCCUCCCAACAGUCUCUUCAAGGCAAUCUAGACCUUUAUUCACUAUUAGGCACCUUGAAACUCUACUAGCCUCUACCCAUUACCCAAUUCCCAAACUGCUUCCACACUGUAGGUAUCUGUUAAAGCAGCACCCCGCUUUUCCGGUUCCAAAUUCUGUCUUCAUUAUCUAGUGUUGCUGUAACAGAAAUACCACCCAGAACAACAACAACAACAAAAACCCAUUGCCGUCAAGUUGAUUCUGACUCAUAGCAACCCUAUAGGACAUAGAACUGUCCCAUAGAGUUUUCAAGGAGCACCUGAUGGAUUCGAACUGCUGACCUUUUGGUUAGCAGCCGUAGCUCUUAACCACCAAGGUUUCCAGAAAUACCACAGUGGAUAGCUUUAACAAACAAAUUUAUUUUCUCACAGUUUAGGAGGCCGAAAGUCCAAAUUCAGGGCGCUGGCCCUAGGGGAAGGCUUCCUUUCUCUGUCGACUCUGGAGGGAGGUUCUUGUUUCUUCUGAGCUGCUCCUGGGUAGUCUUCAUGUGGCUUGGCAUCUCUCUUCCAGUUCAGAUGGUUACCUUAAAAAUAAACCCAAUUCAUAUUUCCAGCCUCCCCGGAGAGAUGAAUGAAAUUAAUCUGAUUUUUCCUCUUUCCCUCCCUCCCUCCUCUCUUGUCUCCCUCCUUCCCAUCCUUCCUUCUUUCCGGGUUACUGUGGAAAUCGGUGUUAUAGCUUCCUUUCUUUUCGUUAUUCUGUUUGUUUGAAUCUCCUUUUUCCUUAUGUUUGGUUCUGUGUGUGGUCAAUUUCAGCUUGAGGCAAUCAGUGCAGGUAUUCAGUAACAUAUAAAGCUUCAUUUAUUUGUGUUUAUAAGUUGGAAUCUUAUUCCACUUCUUCCUGAGCCUAAGGGGAAAUCUUAGAAAAAUCCACUGAGAUUUAAGUUAUAAACACACUACUUAAUUACUGCACAGGCUUAACCACAGAGUUUGCUGUCGCAAUGUAAAUACCCAGCUGAGUGCCUGAAAGAAGCCUCCACACUUCCACCAUGUGACUCUCUUGGGCUUUCUAUUCCUGCCCUCUAUCUGGCAAACAAAAAUAUGGAAUCUGUCCCAAGAGCUUCUAUGAAAACUGGUUUAAAAACUUUAUAAAUGGCUCAGUGAAAGGCUUAAAACUUUGCUGCAUCUGUUCCAUUUUGCCAGCUUUCUCCAAACUACUUUUAAAAAUCAAAAUGGUUACUUUUCUUGAGAACCUUACUAUUGUAUUUUUAAUAAAUUUAACUUGUUACAGGUUUUUAAAAAUCCAGUUUUAAGAUUUGUUUCUCUUUCCAUUCUUAAGUAACAUACCCUAAAUAAGCAAAACAGCCUCCCUGACUCACUCUUUUGCUCUCCAUAGACUUUAUAGGAUGAAACGUGUUCAGGCUUUAGAAUUCUAAAACAACUAGUUUAAGAUGAAAUAACAGCUAUGUAAGUGAACCAGAGACUGAAGAAAUUAUUUCAUCAGUUUAAAACAAUAAAAUUUCAUUGGUUUUAAUAUAAUUAAAAAUCUGUUUGAAGAGAUCAGCGUGUAUCUUUGGUAAAAUUAACUGACACACACUAAACAAAUGUGCCAUACUUGCCUGUGUUUGAAAUGAAUUGAUGAAAUCAGAAAAUUAUGUUAUCAUUCCUUUUAGAAUGUUCCUACUUUUCAGUCAUUCAGUCAUUUACAGUAUUUUCUGAGCACCUGCUAUGAGUCAGGCACUGUCCUAGGUGCUGGGAUCCAGCAGUGAAUAAAGGCAUCAAGGCCCCUCCUGUCAUGGACGUUAUCUUCUGGCAGGGGUGAGGAUUAGCAGGGAGCUAUAACAAAUAAGGAAAACAUCAAUAAUGAUUUCUGAGCAAUGAAUUAAAAUAGGAUGAUACAGUGAUUGAGUGACUCUGAAAUUGAGUAGGCCGGAAAUGCCUGAGAAGGUGACAUUUAAGCUGGUGUCUGCAUAACAAGAGCCAGCCAUGCAAACAUCAGAGGAAGCAAAUUCUAAGCAGAAGGAAUAGUCUUAAAGUGGAAAUGAGUUGGGGGUUCAAAAACAGAAAGAAGGCCACUGAGAGUGAAGCACAGUAUUUGUGUUGGGGUGACAGGGAGGGGUUGGGGACCAAAGAAUAAAGGUAAGAUUAAAGUCAGAUAGAUAGACAGGAGUUUGGAUUUUAUCAAUUUAGUGGCAAGUCAUUGGGGGAUUUUAGACAAAGGCCAGACAUACUGCAAUUUAGGUGUAAAGAAUGGUUGUGUUUGUUGGGAAGGCAUCUUAGUGUGGGUUUUCUAGAGGAGCAAAACCAGUGAAAUGUAUAUAGAUGCACAUAGAGAGAGAGAUUUACUUCGAGGAAAUGGCUCAGACAAUUGUGAGGAAAUGGCUCAGACAAUUGUAGGGGCUGACGAGUCCCAAAUCUUUGGGUGGUCAGACAAGAGGCUGAUAACAUCACUCUGACCUCUCCUGGCUCAUGCGGUUGCGGGGACUGAUGAAUCCAAAACCCUCAGGUCUGGGGACAGGCUGGAGGCCUCUGCUGGCUUACGGAGUUGCGGAGGUUGAUGAAUCUAAAACCUGCAGGUCAGGUAACAGGCUGGAGGCCCCUGCUAGUUUACAUCUCAGGAACUAGGCCAGACGCCAAGAAUAUUGUGGGAUCCAAAAAAGAGAGGAAGCUUUGCCAGAACAUUCUUUUACAUCAUGGAUGCAGACCACAUUUCUGAGGAAACUUCUCUUUCAACUGAUUGGCUGCUCAUAUCAGAUCAGAAAAAUGGGAGGUGAUACAUAGUGUCUGCCAAACCACGGUGAAUUAUAGCCUAGCCAACUUGACGCAUAACAGUAACCAUCAGAGGGAGACCAAGUAGGCAGUUGGCAGUAGUUGAGGAUAGAGAUGGUAGUGGCUUGAAUUAGUUUGCUAAUAAUGGACACAGUGUAAAGUGGACAGAUUGGGAUAUGUUUUGGAGGUAUGGCCGAUUUGCUUGUGUUGCAGAUUUUGACUUUCGAAGGAGGGUGGAUGGUACCUUUACUGAUGUAGUAAAAAAAACUGGGGGAAGGACAAGCUUUUGAGGAAAAUUAGGAGUUUUGUCCAUUUCAAUUUUAAGAUACCUAUUACUGAAGUCAAUUGGAGAUGUCAAAUAAGCAAUUGAAUAUAUGACUCUGGAGUUCCAGGGAGAGAGAGACCAGGGCUAGAGGUGUAGAUUUGGGAUUAAGCAGCAGACAGCAAGCAUUUAAAACCAUUAGACUUGAUAAAAUUCUGAGGGAAGUUGUAUGGGUUGAGAAGAGGAGGAGACCUAGUGCCCUGGGGCACUCCACAAGAAAGAGCCAGCAAAGGUGGCUGAGAAGGAACAGACAGUGAUGUGGGGGAAAACCAAUGGAUUGUGGCAUCAGAGAGAAACCAGAAGAGAAACAAGAAGUUCCAAGAAGGCGGGGUGGAAACUGUCAGAUGCUACUGAGAGGUCAAGUUAGAUAAGAACAACGGUGACAUUGGCUUUGAGAGUCGUUCAUAAUUUUAACAAGAGCAUUCUCCGUAGAAUAGAUUUGAAUGGGUCAAGGAGAGAAUAGAAGUGGGUAAGAAGAUGGUGAUUAGAGACAACGCUUAAAUCACAGAGGAUUAUGUCAAGGAUAGAUAUCACAGGUAAUAACGAUAUUUUCUAGAAGAGAAUAGGGAUAGCAGACAUGUACUUUAUUCCCAGUGUGGACGUACAGAAGUGCUGCCCCAGAUAAUGCAUUAGUAGAACUGUGGUUCGUCACCGUGUGAAUGCUGUUGAAUGGAGCAUGGCCACAGAGUUCCUCAUGUAGCCGCACUCCCGGGAUGUGCGAAGUAACUCACUUGACUAGUCUCAGGCUGUGAUUUUAAAUGUUUCAAGCUAGAAAUAGUACACAGUGCACAGUUGAUGUAGUGCCUCUGGGCUUCCAAAUCGCUGAUCGGUAGGCUCUUCUGCAUUUUUUAAAAAGUGUCUUCUGGGUAUUCCUUCCAGUAACUGUGAGUGUUUGCUAGGGCACUCUUCAAUAUUGUUUUUCCAUUUCCACCAUUUUUGAAAAAUAAUUUAUCCAGGAACAAUUUUUCGUAUGCUACCAGUAAAGCUUUUUCCUUGACCUGCAUCUUCUUGGUGUAUAGUCUUACAGUGUUGUGCCAUUAUCUUAGGUUUGGUGACAAGAGUUUCUAGGUUUUGUCCGUUAAAUGUCUUUGAUUUUGUGGUGCAUUAUAAUUUUUCUCAAUUGAGUAGAUGCUCAGGGGACUUUUUUUAGGACCAUUUUCUCUCUCCUUGUUGUGUGUCAUCGAGUCAGUUCCAACUCAUGGCAGUCCUGUGUGACCGAGUAGAACUGCCCCCGUAGGAUUUCCCAGGCUACCGUCUUUAUGGGAGCAGAUCUCCAGGCCUUUUCUCCUGCAGAGCCACUGGAUGGGGUUUGAACCGUCAGCCUUUCGGUUCGCAGUCGAGUGCUUAACCAUCACGCCACCAAGGCUCCUUUCUCUCUCCUUACUUUACCUAAAAAGUAUCCACUUGCUGUGUGUGCUUCUACCCAUUGUUUAAAAAACCGCACUCUUCUUUGCUUCUUGCCUUCACAGGUUUUAUGUGUGCUUUAGUUCCUCUCUGGCUGUUGUAGUCCACAAGAAGAGACACAGGCAGUCUACACUGGUGAUCAAAACUAACUUAGCCUGCAGAAUCCUCAGACUUACUAUUCCGGAUAGUAAAGUAGCACUAGGAUAUCAGAGUUAUUAAAUGCCAGAUUUUGCCUUAAAUAUCCAGUAGUGCUGGCAGUUGUUUAACUGUGCAAGCCAGUGGUUCUGUGACCCAGGCUAUGGAUUUGUGGUAAAAGCAGGAAGGUGUAUUAUGUUGAUGAUUAUUUGACUUUGAAGUAAGAAGUUGUGAUUGGUAGGUAGUCAGAUAUUGAGCCUCCCUGACCAAAGGAAAAUUCAGUUAUCAUUCAUUGUCUGACUUUUCACUUUCCAAACUUAGAAACUGAAUAUAUUUGGAUAACAAGGGCUACUUGUUUUUGUAACAUUGGGCUAAUUGUAUAAGCACAGACUGGGAUUUGCCCAAUUAAUACAUUUUGUUUUGCUUUUCAUCAGAACUAUUAACUUAUACAGUCAAAUAAUUUAACCUUAUUCAUAUGAAUAAAUAACUGAAGGCAGUUUCUUUUCACUCUUUUGGGGGAAAUAUGCAACUUGGGCUUUUAUUCCUCACCCUCUUACAGCAUGAAGGUUUCAGAACACUGUAAGAAUGAAAAACUGAGGUGGUGGUGGUGGGGGCAGCCCAGAUGUUUUGCCUGUAAGUAAUCUAUUCUUUUCACUGAAAAGUGCAGUAACAAAGAACACUAGUGAAUAAUAAACAUCUGCACAGUUCAAAACUUUUAUCUUAUUUUCUUUAAUAACAGCCUUAUUGAGGGAUAAGUCACAUAGCAUAUAAUUUACCCUUUUAAAGUGGUUUUUAGUUGUGCAGCCAUCACCUCUGUCUAAUUUUCAUCACUGCAGUAAGAAACCUGUACCCAUUAGCAGUCACUCCCCAUGGCCCCCUCCCCUCAGCCCCUGGCAACUACUGAUCUACUUUCUGUCUCUGCAUUUGCCUACUCUAGAUAUUUCGUGUAGGUGGGAUCAUACAAUAUUAGUUCCUUUGUGUGUGACUUAUUUCACUGAGCAUAUCAAGUUCAAGGUUCAUCCACGUCAUAGCAGGUUUCAGUAUUUUAUUUCUCUUUAUGGCUGAGUAAUAGUCUUUAUUCUGAAUAAUAUUCUUUACCCAUUCUUCAGUUAGUGGACGUUGAAUUAUUUCUACUUUUCGGCUAUUAUGCACGAUGCUGCUAUUAACACAUUCAUAUAUGAGUUUUUGUGUGGAUAUGUGUUUUCAGUUCUAUUGGGUAUAGACUUGAAAGUGGAAUUGCUGGGCCAAAAAGGCAUUUAGCCACAGAACUAGAGAUUUUAAUAGGCUGUUUGCACCUUUUGUUAUUUAAAGAGAAAGACUCCUACAUUUAAGGUAAGGUGAGGAAAACUGAUCAAGUUUUUUUUUUUUAGUCUGCCCACCUUCCUGGAAUUAAGACUUAUGUAUAAGGUCUCUAUGAGUCAGAAUCGACUCGAAGGCAAUGGGUUUGGUUUUUUUUUUUUUUUGGUACUUUGAUAGGAAACCCUGGUGGCGUAGUGGUUAAGUGCUACGGCUGUAAACCAAGAGGUCGGCAGUUCGAAUUCGCCAGGGGCUCCUGGGAAACUCUGUGGGGGCAGUUCCACUCUGUCCUGUAGUGUCACUAUGAGUCGCAAUUGACAGCAGUGGGUUUGGUUUUGGUUUUGGCACUUUGAUAAUACCACUAGUCAUAAUUUCACAUUUGCUCCCUGGUUACUCAAAAAAAUUUAUCGGUUGAACGUUUGGAUGCAAAUAAAGAACAGAAAAUCCAGUGGCAUAGCAGUAACGAGGCUUUUCUAGUACCGGAACUGAGAACUCCAGGUAGUACUGACUUCAGGCAAGACUUGAUCUUCCACUCUGAAUAGGGCAGAGCUCUCUGAUGGCUUAACAGAAGUCCCCAAGUUGAAUCUUACUGGCCCUGAUUAACCUGCCUUGGUUUGUGUACUCGUCUCUAGUCAGGGUUUGGGGUAAAUUAGGGCUGGGAAUGGGUCAAAAUCAGGGUUCUACUAGGAAGGGAAGAAAGAAUGGAUGCUGAAAAUAGAUCCAACAAGAGUGCACUAAAGAGUCAUACCUGUCAUUCUAGAGAGCUGAUAAGGAAAAGCAAAUAUGUAUUCCCUGCAUUUGAGGCAAUAUCCGGCUACUGAAUUCACAAAGCCCAUCUUUCCCCAGAGGCCAACUCGUUCUCAUUCUCGCCUUUCCUGAGGAUCCUUUAUAUUCUGUGCCUUUUCCUUCUUAAGUAUUUGUUUUGGUUAAAUCUUAUAUCGCUUUGUUAAACAAAAGCAACUCAUUUGUUUUAAGUGUUAGGAGUGGGCAUGUUCAUGUGGUAAUCACAGUGUUUGAGUUUUAGUAUUACAGAGAUGCCUGUCACAGUUAAGAAUGUUUUGUUUUUGCUCAGUUGAUAGUAUCUUACUUUAUAAAAGGGUUAGGUUUUUAGUGAUCAGUGCAACCUGAGUUUUGUCUAAAGAAGCUUCUCUAUGACUCCUCCAGCUAAUUCUGAUAAGUUGUUACCAGUAAUACAAAACCCAUGAAACCAAACCAGAUGCGGUUGAGUCAACUUCGACUCAUGGUCGCCUCAUUUGUUUUGGAGUAGAACUGCGUUCCAUAAGGUUUUCUUUCAAUGGCUGAUUUCUUAGAAGUAGAUCACCAGGCUUUUCUUCCCAGGGCACCACUGGGUGAACUCAAACUGCCAACUUUUCGAUUAGCAGCUGAGCACUUUCACCAUUUGUACCACGCAGGGACUCCAGAGGAGUAAUAAGGGAGGCUUAAACAUUUUCCUCUGGGAAUCAGUGAGAAUUAACUAUGCUGUUUUAACGCAGUUAGGCUCUAAGUGAAUUUCUACAUAUCCUGUGAACUAUCCAGUUCAGUAACUUAGCUUACAUAGCUGUGUUAUUUGGUCUUUUUUUUCUUCCCUGCUACAUAAACAAACAACCCGAAAAUCUCAAGUGGAUUACAACCAGCGUUUGUUUUAACUCUCAUGGGUCUACAGAUUGGUAGAGUUCUGCUCAUCUAGGCUUUGCUCAGGUAGGCCAGCCUGGACUUCAGGCUUUUAGCUGAAUUUAGGGUUAUUUUAUGGUUUUAUCCUGGGACCUAGGCUGAGUGGCAGUGGCUACCUGGGCAUGUUCUUCUCAUGUAAGAUCAUCAGUGUGGCAUCUAAGAAGGAGGAGUGGAAACAUGAAGUGUCUUCAGCUUGAAACUGGUGCGUUUAUAUUUCCUCUCAAUUUAAUUCGCCAAAGUAAGUCACAUGGCCAACCACAGUGUCAGUGGGGUCAGAAAAUACGUUUCUCCACAAUGGUAGGUACUGCAAAGUCAUACCGCAAAGAGCAUGGGUAUGUAAUUUUUAUAAGGAAAGGAGUGAACGAUUGGGAGUGAUGAUCCACUUAACUGUAGGUGUUAUCAUAGAAAUAAAGAUGCAUAAAACUAUGACAAAAGCAGAUGUCUCUUUACAGUGAGUAAAUUAGGAUUAUGGAAUAAUAUAAUUGUGUACAUUUUAAGUCUGAUUAAAACCAUUGAUGUUCAAAUUAAAUUAAUAAAUGAGACUUUUUUUUACUCCUACCCCUGAGAAAGCAAAUAUGGCAGGGUUAUGUUCAACUCCUCUACUUCCAAGUCUAAAGACAUUUGCUAAAUUGCUUAGUAAUUCCUAACGCUAGCCUGUCCUGUAAGUUGUAAAAAGAGCUGAAAUUCUUGCUUGUGGUCGUUCUUAAAUUAUUAACCAACUCUUAUUCCCAUUCUUUCUCUAAAACUUGGCAGACUACUAAUUAGUCAACUUAUAUAUCUGCUCUUAAAAGGAUUUCAUAAUAGCUAGGAUAGAGAAUUAGUGAAAAGGUGAAACAUUUAAAAUUACACUUAAAACAACAACAACAGAAAAAGAGGAGCUGCUGAGGCUGCUGUGUACAACCAAACAUCUCAUGGGAUUUGGUUUCUUGGUUUGAAGGUUUAGGGUCAUGGGUUCAUGAGACAGCCCAGAUAAUUGACCUGAUGACAUGUUUUAGUGCUUCUGUUCUACAUCCUAGUUCGUUAGGUAGUGCCUGUGGCCAUCUGAGGCACAACAACUGGUUUCUUUUCACCUGGAGCAACAGAGGAAGAAGAAGAGUUAGGAAUAGGAGGAGGAUAUGGAAUGGGUCAGGAGGGAACAGUUCCUGGAGAAGGUCAUCAUGCUUGGUAGAGGAUUAGUGAAAGAGAGGAAGACUCUCAAUGAAAUGGAUUGACCCAGUAGCUACAAUGAUGAGCUCAAGCAUAGCAACAGUUGCAAGGAUGGCGCAGGACCAGGCAGUGUUUUGUUCUGUUGUACAUAGGGUCACUAUGAGUCGGAACCUACUCAGUGGCACCUAACAGCAAUAUGGAAUGUGUGACUAAUUGCCUCCAUGAACAACUGCCUCCUUUGUCAUGAGACCAGAAGAACUGGAUGGUGCAUGGCUACAGUUACUGAACAUUUUGAUCAAAGAUUCUGUACAAGAAUCCUGAUCAAAAAGGGGAAAAUAUGAAACAAGAUUUCAACUUCUUUUGGACUCCAGACUUUUCUGGAGCCGUGGAGGCUGGAUGAACCCGUGAAACUAUUGCCGAGAUUGUCUUUAAACCUUAAACCAAAAAUAUCUCCUGAAAUCUCCUUAAAAUCAAACAGUAGUUUAGCUUAACUAGUAAAGAAUAUCUGCCUUGAACAUUAUGCUCUUUUAAGAUCCGUCUAUAUUGGGCUCAAGAAAUCAACAGACACGUUGCAUUGGGCAAAUCUGCUGAAAAGGACAUCUUUAAAGUGUUGAAAAGUAAAAACAUCACCUGGAAGACUGACCCAAGCCAUUGUAUUUUCAGUUGCAUCAUAUGCAUGCAAAAGCUGGUCAGUGAAUAAGGAAGAUGGAAGAAGAAUUGACGCCUUUGAAUUGUGGUGUUGGCGAAGAAUAUUGAAUAUACCAUGGACUGCGAGAAGAACAAACAAAUCUGUCUUGGAAAAGGUACAACCAGAAUGCUCUUUAGAAGCAAGGAUGGUGAGACUGUGUCUUACGUACUUUGGACAUGUUAUCAGGAGGAAUCAGUCCCUGGAGAAGGACAUCAUGCUUGGUAAAGUACAGGGUCAGCAGAAAAGAGGAAGACCCUCAACAAGGUGGAUUGACACCGUGGCUGCGACAGUGGGCUAAAGCAUAAUAACGAUUGUGAGCAUGGUGCAAGACCGGGCAGUGUUCCAUUCUGUGGUACACAGGGUCUCUGUGAGUCAGAACUGACUCAACAGCACCUAACAACAACAAUAUAUUGGCGUCAAAUUGCCAACAGCAACUGGAAAGAUUAGAUAGGAACUUCAUUGGGCAAUGAGUUUAUGAUAACAGGUGAGGACAGCUCAGAAAAAGAAUGUGAGAAUGGUUGCACAACUUGAAGAAUGUAAUCAGUGUCAUUGACGUAUACAUAUAGAAAGCUGAGUUGGUAUGUUUUUGCUGUGUAUAUUUUCAACAACAAAAUAAAAUUAUUUUUAAAAAUUACGCUUAAAAUCUAAGUAACCGGAGGCACACUUCAGAACGUUGUAUGCAAUGCCUGUAUAAAUAAUUGUUUGUUUUUAUCUUUUUAGAGAAUUUCCCAGGAUGGUGUACAAUGAUAACGUAGAAUUUGAGGCAUCUAGGUUUUAAGGGUGAAUACAGUGUUUUCUGUACUAAUUUAAGUAUGGACCUGUUUUCCCCAAGAAGAGUAUUUUGAAAAACUAAGGUUCUGUAGGCUAUAUUUUGUGUAACAAGGUUGUAGGCGAUAUGUAUGUGUUAGGAUACAUAGGUUCAGCUAUGUGUAGUAAGAAAAACUCAACAGUAGCUUAAACAAAGUAACUGAUUUCUCCUUCAUAUAGGAGGUGGCUAGAAGUAGACAUGUUGGUAUAGUGGCUUCACUGUCAUUAGGGAUCCAGGCCCUUUCUAACCUGUUAAUCCACUAUCUUGAGUGUGUUUCUCAUGGUUCAAGGUGGCUGCUUGAGCUCCAUUCAUCAUUUCUGUAUUCCAGGCAGUAAGAAGAGAAGACUUGCUUCCUCCAUUUUAAGACUUCCUUUUAACUAGCCAGUUGAAGAGCCCUGGUGGCACACUGACUAAGAGCUCGGCUGCUAACCAAAAGGCCUGCAGUUCACAUCCACCAGCCGCUCCUUGGAAACCCUUCGAGGGGGUUCUCUGUACUCUAGGGUUGCUGUGGGUCAGAAUUGACUCGACAGGCAACGGGUUUGGUUUUUGUUUUAGCCAGUUGAAGGGAUAAUUAUUGUAUGUAAUUGAGAACUAUUUGGUCAGAUGCAAAUAAACUAGGCGAAAAUAAUGUACCGUACUAAUAAAAUAGCAUUUGUUAAUACCAGUUAUGCGCACAGUUAGUUUUUUCAGAUAAAGCUAAGCUAACAAGUUACAUUGAAGUAUUACUACUCUGUAGCAGUUAUCUGUUGCUGUGUAACAGACUACCUCAAAACUUAAUAGCUUAAAGUAACCAUUUUUUGAUUGAAAUAUUUAUUGAGAUAAUUACAGAUUCACAUGCAGUUUAAAAAAAAAUAAUACAGAGAGAUCCUUUACACACUUUGCCCAGUUCUCCCAGUGGUAACAUUUUACAAAACCACAGUAUCAUAUCACAGCCAGGAUAUUGACAUAGAUACAAUCUACUGAUCUUACUCAAAUUUCCCCGGUUUUACUUACACCCAUUUGUAUGUGUGUAUUACGUUCUGUACAAUUUUCUCACCUGUGUAGGUUCUUAUCUCUACCACCACAUUCAAGAUAAUGAGCAGGUCCAGCACCAAAAGAUACCUCUCUUGUUGCCCUUUUGUGACUAUGCCACCUGCCUCCCCGUGCUGAUCUCCAACCCUCACACCCACCCCUAGCCUCUGGCAACCACUGAUUUGUCUGCCAUUUCUCAAAUUCUGUCCUUCAGAAGUGUUGUAUUUGCUCAUUCUGCGGAUCUGCAGUGAGGGCAGGGCUCCGUUAGAAUUGUUGUCUUUGUUCCACAUGAUGUCUCCUGGACUCCGCUGGAACUGGAGGAUCCAAGACGGUCCCUUUCACAUGUCUGGAAUCUUGGUGCUGGCUUUUGGUUGGAGUGUCUUAGUGCUGCUCCUCAUGGCCCGUUUCUCAUGUAGUGUCUUCUCAUGUAGGGCCCCUCCAUGUGGCCUCAUAUUCUAGUAGGGGAGCCUGGACUUCCUUACCUGGCAACUGAGGGCUCCAGGAAAGCAAAAAUGUAAGCUUCCAGGCCUUGUUCCGACCUAGGCCCAGAACUGGCAUAGCCCCACUUUUGUAGCAAUCUGUUGGUUGGAGCAGAUCACAAAGAUAGUCCAGAUUCAAGGGGAGGGGAUGUAGCCUCUACCUCUUGAUGGGAGGAGCAGCAGGUAUGUGCAAGGAUGGGAGGAACUGUUGGUGGCCACCUUUGCAGACAGUCUGCUGCACACUUCAAACAAGGUGGUUGGAUUAUGGGAAUGAUGCAGCCUGUGUCUCCUUUGAUCUUUUGUAAAUGUUACCAUCACUUCAUUUUGAAAUCUGAAUUAGUUUAAAUCCCAUAAAAGUAUAAAAUAGAAUGUGAUAGUUUGCUACUGCUAAUGCCUGUUUCAGAUAGAACAGUUGCCUUGCAAGGCAAGUUGCCAGAGCUCAAGUUAUCAACCAAAUCUGAGGAUUCCCAAGGGGACUGUGGUAUUUGCAGAACAAGUAGUUGCUUGAAGUGGCUGUUAAGAUGUUAGGAAUAGUUCACCUCUCUUAUUUUCCCAGGCUGGCUGUUUCUUGUGAUCUUAAAAUAGCAGGGACUUGUAUACCUAGGGAGCCCUGGUGAUGCAGUGUUUGAGAGCUCAGCUGCCAACCAAGAGGUCAGCGGUUCUAAUCCACCAGCUGCUCCUUGGAAACCCUGUGGGGCAGUUCUGCUCUGUUGUGUAGGGUCACUAUGAGUCGGAAUAGUCUCAGUGGCAACAGAGCUUUUUUUUUUUUUUUUUUGGUUUUUGUAUACAUAGUUCCAGAUUUCUAUAAUACUAACUUUGAGAGACCAUACCAGUUUUCCUCUUUGCAUUAAGUUUUUUUAGGUAAGGCAUUAGAAUAUUGUUUUUCAAGAUAUUUUCAACUUCAGAGAAAAGGUCUUUUAAGGGGGAGUACGGUUGAGGAGAGGCGUUAUAGCUGAAGAUUGAAGCCAGGAGAGCAUUUUCUCAAGAUUUUUCUGACUAUGAAAUGUUAGAGACUUCCUUAGUUUUGUUGUGAGAGUGGCAGUGAUGCAGGGUCAGAGGUUAGGUCUUGAACUUCAUGGGUAGGAUUCCUGAUCAUCUGUUACACUGUAAGGGAUACAUUUUCAUAGAAUUUCUGGAAUGAGAGAUAAGAGUUAUUGCUCAGUGGGAGCCCUGGUGGCACAGUGGGUAAAGCGCUCAGCUGCUAACUGAAAGGUCAACAGUUUGAACUCACCAGCCGCUCCUUGGGAGAAAGAUGUGGCAGUCUGCUCCCGUAAAGAUUUUUCAGCCUUGGAAACCCUAUGGGGCAAUUCUGCCCUGUCCUAUACGGUCACUGUGAGUUGGAAUCAACUUAAUGGCACUGAGUUUGGUUUUUUGGUUUACUGCUCAGUGAGGGCUCCAUGUUUGAGAGAAAUAAAUUUUUUCUCUCUGCGUUUUGGAGCAAUACAUUAUUUGGCUAAGAGUUUCCGUUUAGCUUUCCCUUCUGAGUGAUAACUUUGAUUUUACAGACAUUUACUAUUUGGUCUCUAUGUGUGGAACACUUCGUUAGACAUUAUUUAAAGAAAAUUAGGACAGGGUCCCUAUUUUCCAGGAGCUUGUGGUCUAAGAGGACAAAUAAGAUGUACAUAAAAAAAAAAAAAAAAACAUAGCUGAC